rnacentral:lncRNA from 1 species
UGUUCGAUCACACAAUAAAGUUGCCCAUUAACUCAUUAUUAUAAACAGUUAGAUUAUAUAUAUAUAAAGAAACUAUAACAAAAUGAUACAAAAACAUAUUCUGAGCACAAAAAAUUUGGAUGUCUAAACUUUUAAAUACAAUAGUAAAUGCAUAUGUGUUUGUUUGGCAAUGAAUCAUGAGGGAUAAACCUAUUCUAAGAUUCUUUAAUAAAGAAGAGCAUUUACAUUAUAUUUCCAAGUGGUUUAUGGCCUGAUGAGAUUUUCCUAAUGUUGAUGAGUGAAACAACCAAAAAUGUAUAACUUAACUGUCAAUCAGACUCACCAAGGGGGCAGGUCCUCUCACUACUCUUCCUUGAUCGUUGUAUUGGGAUCCAUGGCAGGGGCAUAUGAACUUGUUCUCGGCUUGAUUCCACGGAACAACACACCCAAGGUGUGUGCACACAGCAUUUAUACCAUAUGUUGCAAGGGUUCUGUCUUUCUCUACCACUAGGUAGGUUGGGUCUCCCUGAAAAUAAACAAAAUCCAUUUUUAAUAUCGACUUUCAUAAUGCAGUUACUGCUACUGCUCUCGUUAAUGCUUUCUCAUGCCUAACAUUAGCAAGAGACAAAUAACCUAAACAUAAAAAAAGAUUGAGCUCAACCAAUGGCAAGCAUAGCUCAUAAAUCACUGUUGAUCGCCAAAACUUUGCAUUGUAAGAACUUACAUGGCAAACAAUAUCCUAGAAGAAACCAGAGGUCUUCGAGAUUUCAUGUUGAAUGCUCUUAGGAUGGUCUGAAACAUUCAAUUAGAACAAACUGUAAUUAACACCAUGUGUACUUACCUUCAAUCCUUGAGUCAGGGUUCGGUCCCCAGGGCCAUGAGUCUUGAGCCAUUCUUCAGCAAUUACAUCAUUCCCGAUUGCGUCCUUGGCAACGGUGCCACCACCGGUACCCCGUCCCCUGGUAAUAAAGGUUUUAUACAAACAGUGAUAAAUGAUAAUGAGAUAACUUAUCAAGUAAAGCCAAAUCUUUUAAACGAAAAUUCAUCAACCACUUAAUUAGGGAAAAUAACAUGGUUUAUAAUUUUAAUAUUUGAUAACAGUAAGUUGAAUAACUAUUUUUCCAUGGUUUCAGAACAUGCUUAUAAUUGAUAAAAUAAAGGAUCAAUUCUAUAUUUACUACCAUCAUAUUGGAGAUAAAAUAAUACUUGACGAAUUUCAUGCUUGUGGUCAUACUUAACCACUAUCAUGUUGUUCUGCCUAUAAGAAAUAGAUGCAUCAUUUAGCACUCUCAGAUGUCGAUACUUGAUUAGGAACUGAACAAGGAAAGAGGAGGAGAAGUUACCCAGAUGGCACAAAGAAGGCUGCAUAAGGAACCAACAUGAAACCUGAGGGGAGUGAAAUAGCCCCCAACAGAAGCAGAUUCAUGAGCUGCCUCUUGCCCAUGUCUGGCACUCUAUCAGCAGGGAUGCUAGUGGCCUGGCAUGUGAUCCUCAUUCCCUUUUCGUUUUUGACCAUAUGGGUCCUCGCUGGUUUCACAAGAAACGCUCGUGAUGGGCAGAACAUGCCACUCUUGCUGGAGCAUAGCUGUUUCAUACAAGAACACACACACAAAAAAAGACCUUCGGUAAAAAGUCUUGAAGGAAGAAUUUACAGAGUAAUUUGAAGUACCAAAACGUGUUGGGAUACACCUGCCAAGGAGCUGCAGGGGAGAGAGUUGAGGAAGCCAUGAUAAACGAUGGUUGGGGUUUAGUGGUGAGACGGAUGGCGUGUGUUUUCCAUCCCUUAUUAUGGUGAUCAAAGCUCUAUCGACUACCGUAGCAAGAAGAUAAGGCACGUAUGAAGCUAUGGUUGCCACAUAAGCCACAUGUUUGUGGAAUGUGGACAAUGGUUAUUGCUCUUCGUUGCAAGUGGCCUAGCCCAAUCGCACAAAAUUUCUGGACUUUCACAUACUGCAACGUCAGUUGGGGUCCUGGUCCAACUAAAUGGGCCGAAGUAGCAUAUAUGUUUCUCUCAUCUGCACUGCGUUUGCUUCAUUGUAACACCAUGCUUUUGUUUUUUUUUAAAGUUCUCUAUGUUUAGCAGAGACCAGUUUGGGUGGACAAAAUCUUAAUUAAUACAAAUAUAAUAAUACCAAUCAUAUUGGUAUGUAUUAAAUUUUAUUUUUAUAUGUAGGAAACAUAUUAUGUUUUUGUAUCCAUUAAUUGAAAAGCGAUGAGCUCUAACCUUGGGUCCUUAAUAAAGAAAGUAGCUUCAACAUGCGCAAGGCAGGCAUGAGUGAAAAGGAUUGGUACGUAAAUUAUAAAUUGGGUGUCCUGCUUCACUUAAAAAAUCACCCUACAUUAGUUGGUUAUUUGGUGUAUAUUCGGAGUUAAGACUAUCUUGUGUUGGCAUUAGAUUUCGGUUGAGGUAAUUAUAUUGAGUCAUGACAGAAAAUGACCCAACAUCUUUGGAUUAUUUUAAACUACGCGAUAGUUUUAAAACAGUGUUUCUUAUUGCAUUUGUUGUUUUAGGACUUUUUUCCGUCCGGAAGAUGUACGUCUGUCGGAUUAUCACUUGGAUAGUUGUAUAUAUUAUUAAGAUAAUUGUAUACUUGGUACUAGGACUUUGACAAAUCUUCAAACAUGGCGGUACUUGGUACCUAGGGGUGUUUAAUCGGUUAACCGAUCUAAACUACCAUUAACCGAAUUAAUCGACCUUUUUAAACCCUUAACCGUUAACUGAACAAUUUUUUUUUAAAAAAAUUAACCAAAUUGAACUUUUUCGGUUAAUUCGGUCAAUUAAGUGAAUUAACAGGAAUUUAUAUGUUUUUUUAUUUUAUUUUUGAUUCAAAUAAGUUAAAACAUAUAAAAAAUUAACCGACUGAUUUAAUUUAUACUUCCAAAAAAUUAACCGAACCGACCAAAUACUUAUAUAUUAUAAUAUUAUUUAUUAAGUUCGGUUAAUUUGGUUAACCAACCGAUUUUGAACUGAAUUAACCGUUAAAUGAACUUCCAAAAAAUUAUUAACUGACUCCGACCGAAUUAAUUCAGUUAACCGACCAAUUAGUUAAAUUCGAUCGGUUAACUGAAUUAAUUCGGUUUUACUUGAAAUUUGCACACCCAUAUUGAUACCUGGACUUUUAAAAAGUUGGUUUUAGUACCUAAACUUUAACUUCGUUUAUCAAUGUGAUACCUCCCUUUAACUAUGUUGAAAUCUAACAUGACUUGACAUGUAGAGCAAUUUGAUGUUGGCACAUGGCACUAUUUGUCAAAAAAAAAUUAAUUAGUCAAGGUCACGAGACUUGAAAAUAAUUAUACCAAAAUUUAUUUUAAAGGAAAAAAAUAAAAAAUAAAAAAUAAACAAUACAAUUGAUAUGAUUAAAUUAAAAUCCAUUAAUAAUUGUUAACUAAUUACAAUUUUUUUUAAAAAAUCCUAAACUUUCUUGUCUCUUUAACAUUUUCUUUUUCCUCUCCCUGUCGUUGUUGCCGUUAUUGUCGUUGUUAAAUGCCUUCCUUGAUAUGAGCUACGCUCUAUUAAUCAUUCAAAAACUAAUUAUAACAAGGAGAGAAUGACCUCAUUUAUAGAACACGGUGCUGAUAAUAUCCCAACCAACUUGUACCACUACAGUAAAACAGGCUUUUAGCAGCCUUUUUUAGGCCUAUAGAAGCGCCGGUAAAACUAUUUGCGAUGCUUUCACAAGCGCUGCAAAAAAACGCUGUUAUAGACAAUACCGCUAAAUUUUACGGUGUUUAUGUGAAAAAAAAGCCACUAUAGAACAUGACCUUUAGCGGGGCUUUUAUAAAAGCCGCCGCUAAAGGUCAUGUUAUUUAGCAACGAUUUAUCCACAAAUGCUACUAAAGAACAUGAUCUUUAGAUUUACACACAAACGUCGCUAAAGAGCAUGACCUUUAGCGGUGCUUUAUCAACAAACGCCGCUAUAGAGCAUGACUUUUAGCUAUUUUUUUUUCACAACGCCGCUAAAGAACAUGAUCUUUAGCGGCACUUUUAUCACAAAUGCCACUAACUUUGGAGAAUUGUAACAUUCAAUUUUCAUCCAUAUAUAACCCUUCCUGUAGCAUGAAAUUCAACCAAAAAUAGCAAAUCUAAAUGAUACUUCAAAUUCAAUGAAAGAUAUAUGAUAUAAAUUGAUAACUAAAGUAUAAUUCAAAAUAUUUUUACAAUAAUGUUAAAAGUUACAAUGUUAAAAAUAUUCUUACAAUAAGAAAACAAAUGUCUGAAAUGGCAGAUUUUGCGACUGCUAAAACAUUUUCAUCAUAUUCUGAAGCUGUAGCUGGAGUGUGUCGUACUUUCUGCUCUGCUCUGCUUCCCUCGCUGCUACCUCUGCUUCCCUCGCUGCUGCCUCCGCUUUAAGUUGUAGCUGGAGUUUUUCAUAUUUUCUUUGAACCUCAGCUUCUCUCGAUGCUGCCUCCUCUUUAAGUUGAGCAAUUUGCUCAACUAUGCUCGCUUGCAUCUAAGCCAUUUGGUCUCUGAACCUAUGAACUUCAACUUGAGUCUGACUCCCCGAAGGCAUGUAUUGCUGCAAGCUAGAUCCAAAAUAUUGGGUUGGGUUAACAAAAGAUCCUUGAAAUCGAACCCGACCAUACCUUUCAGGACCCAAAACUUCAGUAAUAAUACUGUUAUCAAUGUCGUCAACAUUAACAGAACUAUCACUCGAAGCAAUUGCUUCAUUCUUCGCAUUUUUAUCCUUUAGUUUCUCUUAAUAAAUCAAUCAAAGAGUUAGAAACGAAAUAUAUAAUAAAAAAAUGCAACAUAACUUAACAUUAUUUGCAUUACAAACGACGAAUUAAACCAUUAUAAUUAAGCACUAUAAAUAUUUAGAAUAAUUCAAAAUUUAUCAAGUAUCAUACCAUAAUUUCUGCUGUUUCAGAAGUCAUAGGAGAUCCAUCUUUCUUCCAAUGUGUAAUGUCAAAAAGCUAGAGGCGUCCAACGUUUUGACCAGAUGACAGUUCCUACAAUAUAGUAGUAACAAUAUUAUUUAAUAGAAAGUAAUAAAUAUUUGACACAAUUAAUAAAUUCAAAAUACCUUGGCCUCACCUACACAAGCAAAACUUUUCAACCCAUCUAGGUGAGUGAAUUUUUGUUUUUGCCUGCUUCUUGUUCUAACUCGCUCACGAUCUUACAUUAUGAAAUUAUUAUUACGUAUAUAGUAAACAUUAUAAACCGAAAUAAUUAAGAGUUUAGAAGUACGUAAUACCUCUCAUUUCUUUGAAUUCCAAAAUCUAACCGCAUUUUCCCAUUGGUACCUCAGCAUUCCCAGUGGGAUAUUUCGCAAUUUCUCAUCGAGGCUUAUAUUUUUCUUAAAAUAUUGUUUCUUUAAAGUACUUUUGUAGUCUCUCCAUUUUUUCCCCAAUACCUUCUUGACAUAAUUAUCCAAGACAUAUAAAACAAAUCUCUCCUACAAAAAACACAAGUUUAGAAAGUAAAUACAAAUGAAACUUAAACCAAAGUAUUAUAAAUUACAUUCACGUUUUGUUACCUUAAUAUUAUCGAGAGCUUCAUUUUUGUUACUAUCAGGCAUUUGAUGCCAUGACUCGUAGUUGAUAGGCAACAUAUUGGCAUUUCGUGUUAUAAUACCCAAAUAUCCUGCUAAAAGUCGAGCUUCUGAUCCAACAGGCUGACCAAGAUUGUUUCUAGAUACUUUGACACGCUCGACAGAAUUUAACUCGCAUAAAUCGUUAAGUAGUGUACGUCCUUGACCUCUGCGCGUCCCACCACUUUUAGUUGAAAAAUGGUAUAUUAUAAUAUAAGAAUUUGAAAAAGAAAUCAAUAAUAAAAGUCAACAUGCAUGUAAAUUAAAUUUAACAUUACUUUGAAUUUCUGCAGGUUCGUCAGGUGUAUUUGGAACAUUCGAAGAUCCAAUAGCAGUCUGUUGUUCACUAUUUGUUUCUUCCAAAUUUGGAGUAUUUUGAACAAUACUUGGAUCUCACAAUCUUCUUCUAUGCAUUUUAUUUGCAAUACACAUUAAAUAGUUGAAAUUUUAGUAACUAAUUACAACAAUAAUAGUACAUAUAAAAUAGUUGAAAUAUUUAACAAGACCAAUAUUUAAAUUAUAAUAUUACAUAUAAUUAAAAAAUCGUAAAAUCUUACUACAUCAUAAUUCGUAAAUAUCUUCAUCAACAUCCUGGCGAUCCCAUUGAAAUUGUGUACUAGUACUAAAGAUAUUUUCAUUUAAGUUUUAUUCUGGAAAAGACAAAGUUUCUGAUCUUUCGUCGAUGUCAUCUCUACUUCUAUUGCCUAUGUCAAACAAGUCUCUAGAGGUGUUACGGAGUACAACGUACCUACCCUCAUCAGUUGGAUCUUUCGAGCAAAAAACUUGAUUCACUUGAGAAGAAAAUACAUAUGGCUCAUCUAUCAAUUGUUGUCCAGUGUGAAUCAAUCGAGAGAACUUUACCAUUAUAAAACCAAAUUGAUCUUUUUUAAUUCCGCGAGCAGUAUUAACAUUAGCCCAAUCACAUCGAAAUAAGACAACUUUCCAUUUGCCAUAGUAAUCCAACUCAAUAAUGUCAGUAAGAAGUCCGUAAUACUCUACAUUUCCCUCAACAGGAUUACUGUCCCUAGCACUAGCAUAACUUGUAAUUGAAGAAUUAACAACUAUUCCACAAUUUUGAAUUCUCCUCAAUCUCUCGUGAUAUUUUGUAUGAAAUUUGAAUCCAUUGAUGAGAAAGGCACUAUAUCUUUUUACUACUCUAUUCGAACCUUGGGAAAGCCAUUUAACUUCAUCAUUGACGUCUUUCCCAUUCUAAAUCUAUUGAAUCAAAAGUAAAUUGAGUAAUUAUAAAUGUUAUGAGAAAAAAUUAUUAUUUGUCAAUGAAAGCUUCAAUUGCAUACCGUUUGGCUUAACCAUUCAUGAAAAUAUUUUGUGAAUAACUUAUUAAUCUCUCAAUGUUGUAAUCUUCGGGAGCAUGAGCAAGAUCUCAAGAUUUGUUUUUACUCACUAUGUUAAAAAGAGGUUUAAUUGGUUAGAAGAUAAACAAAUUAAAAAGAUGAAUAUUUAUCAAAUUCUAGAACUUACUUGCGUAAUGGUUUAAUUGAAUCAUGAUGAAAAAGAACAUAUUGAUGUGCUUGUACCCAAGAUCUAUCAUCUAAUUCUGCAAUUUCAACUUUACCAAUUGGUUCUCCAUAACUUUAAAAUAAAUAAGUUUCGGCCAAGUUAUGAUCAGUAAGCCCAGCAUUUCUACUUGGUCUAUUAAGUCUUGUUUCAACAUUUUCUAAAUAUCUAGAACAGAAAGUCAUACAUUCCUCUGCCAAGUAACCUUCAGCAAUUGAUCCUUUUGGAUAACGCUUAGUACGACAAUAAAACUUCAAUUUGCAUAAGAACGUAAACAUGAUAUACAACAUUAUCAAAAGUUGUAACUAAAAGUAUAGAGGUGAAUGAAUGAAUACUUUACAAAUAAAUUAACACCUUUCUAUAGGAUACAUCCAUCGAUAGAAAACCGGUCCACCAAGUAUUACUUCAUGAGAGAGAUGGAUUAGCAAGUGCACCAUAAUAGUGAAUAAGGAAGGUGGAAAGAUCUUCUCCAAAUUGCAUAAAGUCAAAGCAGCUCGAUAUUGUACUUUCUCAAGUUCUUUAUAACAUCCCAAAUUAGGGCCUAGUUAGAACAGUGGUUUCGAGACUACAAAUCCAAAAUAGAAAUAAAUAUUUUAUGAUUAUUAUGAGGUUUAUGAUAUGAUUUCAUGUUUAUGUAAAAUUUUCAUGAAGAAAUUUUAUGCCUAAAAUGCCCAAUUUGACUUUAGGGACUAAAUUGAAUAAGUUAUGAAACUUAUGUUCUAGAAUAUUUUAGUAUGAAAUAGCUUUGGAUUAUUAAUUAGAGGUCUUUAAAUAGCAAUUUUCCCAAUUUUUAUUUUUAUGGACAAAAAUGGGCAUGUAUGGAUAAAAUUUGAAAGAAAGGUUUAAAGGACAUUUUUGUCUUUUGGUAAAUAAAAGAAUAAAGAGGGAAAAAGAAAGCAAAAUUUGUCCAUAUUUUUCUUUCUUGUGCCAAAAUUUCAAGGGUCACCAUAGCUAGGGUUUUCAACUUUUCAAGCUUGUUUGUAAGUAUUCCCGAGCCCCGUUUUUUAUGUUCUUUGCAUUUUUGAAAUCCUUGAAGCAUGAUCUAUCCAUUUCUAGCCAUAUUUUGAGCUAGGGUUCAUAUUAAAAAACUUACCCAUGUGUGAAAUGUUUGUAUUUUGAUGUUUAAUGGAAGAAUAUGAAAGUUCGAUGUGUGUUUAACAUCUUUUACUAAGUGAUUUUUGAUAGAAAUGCAUGAAAAGAACUUGUUUGUAAAAAUGUAUAAAGAUGAGUAGUAAAAUGUGAAAUAAAGAAAGAUGUGAGCUGAUAUGAGCAUGGAAUAAGUUUGGCUAGGCUUGGGUAACAAAGAAAAUGAACACAUUUCAUUUUACGAGCCUAGAGACUAAUUUGUAAAUAUGUGAAAGUUUAGGGGAAAAAUCAUAAUUCUUGCCUAAAUAUAGUUUUUGGACUGAUUUGAAUAAUGUGAUGAUUAAACGAUUUAAAUUUACUAUUAUAGAUCAAGAAAAAUGGAGUCUGGACCUAGACCUGUGAAAGAACAAGAUUUUGGGCUAAAUCGAAUUAAUUGUCCAUAUUUUGUACCGUGGUAAGUUCAUGUGUAAAUAAUGCAAUGAUAUAUCAUGUUUUAAUUGUACAGCCCAAAUUUUGCCCGGGCUAAAAAGCCCAACAUCUAAAAAGCCCAAUUAUUAAAACCCUAAAAGCCCAAUUAGCCCACAACCUUAACUAAUUUUCAGCCAAAAAAAAAAGAAAAAACCUAGCCACCACCAUUUGAUCUACUUACUCCACUUACACCUGCAAAAGUCAAAAGAAGAAAAAAACAAAAAGGGGCAGGAAAGAAGUAAGAAAACAAGGAAAUAGACAAUAGCAAAUCCAUUGUAUUUCGGUUAUAAAGCCUGAAAUCCUGAAUUUUUUGGGUACAAAAACACGAAUAUUGAAAUAAAAAAAAGGGGGAACGGAUUGUAGUAAAAAAAAAAGAAAAAAGAAAAAAAGGGGGAAGGUAUGUAAAAGCAAAAAAAAAAGUUUUUUUAAAUCAAUGAAAACAACAUAUUUCUCAAACACAUAAUCGAGAUUGAACAUCAAAAAAGAGAAAGAAACGAAAAACAAAAUCAAAACCGAAAAGAGGUGAUUUUCGUUUCCUUCUUUUUUUUUCAAAUAUUUUUUCUUUCUCUUUUUCUUUACAUAUACAUAUAUCUUAAAAGCAUAUAAAAAAUAUAUAAAAAAAACAUUUUUUUUGAAUUUCUGGCCACCGUGCGUGGUGGCCGGCGGCGGCGCCGGGGCGGAGCUUAUGGUGGUGGCUGACUGGACCUUAGCCAGAGUAAAGAAGGCCUUGAGAGAGUUUGAGAGAAGGGGUUAGGUUUUUUUUUUAUGAAAUGGGGAAAAUGAGUUUUUUUAGGGAAAUUUGACUUAUAUAGCCAAUCAAAAUGACGUCCUUUUGGGCUUAAGUCACUAAUGUCAAAACGACGUCGUUUUGGUCCUUAAACCAUGGCCGACCCGCGACCUGACCCGCUCCAACUUCAGGAUCCGCGUGUUUUCAUUGGAGGGGCUAUUUGCGCAUUUAGCCCCUCCACUUUUUUAUUACUUUGCAAUUAAGUCAUUUUUUAUUUUUAAUUUGGCCCUAAAAUUUGUCGCGAUUUUCAAUUUAAUCUUAGCUGAUGCUAUGUGUUUUAGAAAGGGGGUUAUUGCACUUUAGUUCCUCCGUUGUUUCAUGCGUGUUUAAAUAAGCCAUUUUUUUUAUUUUUAACUUGCCCCAAAACUUCGUUUUUAAUUUGAAUUUAGUCCUUUUUUAAUUUAAGUUGAUUUUUAUAUUAUCUUUGCUAUUUUAAUUUUUAAUAUUAGUUCCAAUAAUAUUAUAUAUAUACUUUUAAAUACACUCUUUUAUUUUAUAUUAUUAUAAAUAUUAAUAUUUUCCUUACGUUAUUAUUAUAUCGUAUUGUCUUUUUUUUAUUAUCAUAUCAUUAUGUACACAUUAUUUAUAUUAUUUUUACUACUAUUAUUAUGUCUAUUAUUAGUAUUAGUAUUAUAAUUACUAUCAUUACACUUAUAUACAUAUAUAUGUAAAGUUAUCAAUGGUUAUUUUUAUCAUCAUCUUAAUAUUAAUAUGUAUUUAUUUUUAACAUAUAUAUAUGUAUAUAUUUAUGAGGUAUUAUUAAUAAUUGUUUGUAACAUUAUUAUUAUUUCUAAUGUGUAUGUAUUAUAUAUAUUUUAUACAUUUUAUAUAUAUUAUAUAUAUUUUUUAUAUUUUUAUGUAUAUAUUUUUAAUAUCAUAUUCUUCAUAUAUUUUUUAUAUUAUGUAAAUAUUUUCAAUACUACAUUAUGUAUAUAUUUUUGUCUAUAUUGUAUACAUACUUUUAAUACUCAAUACUAUUAUCAUAAAUAUGUUCUUGAUAUAUGUAUGUAUAUAUAUGUGUUUUUUCUUUAUUCAUAUAUUAUUAUCAUCAUUUUCCAUUUUUUAUUAUACUAUUUUUAUUUUUGUACAUACUUCUAAUAUCGUUAUUAUUAUAUAUAUAUGUGUGUGUGUAUAUUUCAUGUAAUAUUUGUGUUUCAAUAUUAUUAUUUCUAGUAUGUAUAUAUUAUGUAUAUAUUUUUAAUACUACUAUACAUUUUUAUUUCUAUUAUUACGUAUAUAUUUUAAUACAUAUAUGCAUAUAUUUAUAUACCGUUAUCAUUAGUUAUUUCCUAUUAUUAUUGUUUUCAAUAAAUAUUGUAUAUAUAUUUUUAAUCUAGUAUUAUAUGUUGUACAUAUAUAUGUUCCCUACUAUUUUAUAUUUACAUUAUUAUUACCAUGUUUAAUACCAUGUGUUAUUAUCGUUUCAUACUAUUAUUAUUUAUAUUAUUAUUAUCGUUUUCAUUAUCAUUGUCAUUUUUAUUUUGCCGUGUUUUAUUUAUUUUUAAGCGUUCAAUCAUUUCAUUUUCCUCAUGUAUUUGUUUAUAUUUGCAUAUUACUAGCCUUGCUAUUAUUUCACCUUUUAUAAUUGCUCAUAUUAUUAUUUUUGACAUUGUUGCACCUAUUAUUAUGUUAUUACAUAUUAGCACCAUAAUUUGCUCUCAUGUUUUACCAUAAAUAACAUUAUGUUUUUCACUUGAUGCCUUAAAAUGAUUCUUUCAUAAAAGUGAUAUUCCGUAUUCGGUAAUUCGAGACAAUCGUGCCCAAACUUAAUCGGUUUUCGAUUUUUCUCAUUUAACCUAAAUAACGGGAUACUCUUUUAAAACGUAAUACUAGUUUUGAAAAAUACUUAUUCUCGGAGAUACGAGGUGUUGUGCCCUAACUUACUGGGUAUGGCAUUUUGUUACCUUGAAAUAGGAUUUUUGCAAGUAAAGGCAAUAUUCGGUGUUCAAAAAUUUGGGGAAACGUGCCCUAACUUACUGGGUUUCGAUUUUCCUCGUUCACCUUAACUAACUGAAUAUCCUUUUGAAAUACACGAAUUUUUAUAUAAAAGGCAAGCUCGCUCUCGAAAAUUCAAAAUGUCGUGUCCUAACUUACUGGAUGUGACAUUUUAUAUUUUGAGACGAUAAGGUCUUUAACAUUUGAGCAUUUUCUUUACAAAGAGGGAUCGUAUUUUAAAUUCUUUCAAGUUUUCAAAUUUUAGACACUAAGACACUAAUUAAUCAACUAGGUACCAAUUUUGGGCGUAUCGAGGGUGCUAAUAUUCCUCGUGCGUAACCGACUCCUGAACUCGUUCUCUGAUUUUCAUAGACCAAAAAAUUGUCGUUUUAGUAAAUCUUAACUUUUAUUAAAAUGAUUUAAUUUAAGGUGAUCCGAUCACACCUCAUCAAAAGGAUUGGUGGCGACUCCAUUUUCGUUUUAAAGUCGAUCCUCGCUUUUCAAAAAAAAUGGUUACGACAGCUUGACGACUCCACUAGGGACCUCGAGAGUCGAGCCAUAAAUUGAUUAAAUUUUAUCCUUCAUCGAAAUUUGAAAAUUCAUUUUUCGUUUUACAUUUAUGAUCCCUUCAUUUGCGUUUCAUAUGUUUUUCUUAUGGUUUUUCGUCGUCUUAUUUCUAUCUUUUUAUUGCUUCAAGUUCUUAUGUGUAUAUCCUCACACAUUGCAUUGCAUGACCGUUGUGGUCACAUCUUUGAAAGUGAGAAACUAUGCCUUCGUGAGGUUUUCACCUCCGCAUGGGCUAGUAAAUUACUUUUGGGAUACAUCCGUACCUACGUCUUCGUGAGGUUUUCAUCUCCGUAUAGCUGUAGGGAAAUGUAUUCCCCUGAAUCGAACUCGGUCCGUAUGAGCCUAUAAUGGGUGAGGAUCGAGGAAUCUGUUGGUUCAGGUACCUUUCUUUAGAACCAAACCGCAUGUGAAAAGCCCUAAGAGCCUACCCUAGGUAGAACCACACCGAACUCUAGUGGUUACCCUAGUAGGUGUUUAUUUACUCUUUAUUUGCUUUAAAUUCUAUUCUUUGUAUAUAAUACUGACUUAUUGUGUUUUGAUAAUUUUCGUAUGGCAUCUCAUCAUAAAAGGGUGUUGAUUUAUGUUUGGUUACUAAAUAGAAGAGUUUAGCAUGGAAAAAGGAUUUCUUGAUAGAGUGGAGGAUAAUGCGGCCGUCCAAGUGUGGUCCGAGGGAACGCAACAAGAGAAAGGAGAUAGUUUGACUGAGGGAUAUGAGUCGGAUUUGUGGGAUUUCACUCGCAUCAGUGUGACUCAGAAUGACCUGCAAGAGUUAAGGGAUAUAUAGAAUAGUUGGAAUGGCGAAGUCAAACAACUCUUUUACUGUAACUACGGUGACCUACCCUAUUUGCUCGAUGUAAAGGUUGAUAAGUACUUGUUCCGGGCCCUCGCACAGUUUUGGAACCCUGCUUACAGUUGCUUCACCUUCAGAGAAGUCGACUUAGUACUUAGUGUGGAGGAAUACAUGUCGUUACUUAAUUGCCUGAAGAUUCAGGCUGAUAGGGCCUAUUCAAGACCUGUCAGCAUCCCUCCCUUUUUGAAGAAGUUGAUGAAUACAACGGGGAUGAGCAGCAAUGAGUUGCAGCCCGCAUCAAGCAAAAAGGGGAUAGUAAGUGUAUUCCUUGGAGGAAUUUGAGGGACUUGAUUCUUGCGCACCCGGAUUCAAAGAAAAGUGUUGAUGUUUUUGCCUUAAGCCUCUACAGUUUGAUCCUCUUUCCUAAGGCACUCAAACACAUAGAUGAAGCCGUCUCGGAUUUAUUCGAUCGACUUGAUAAAGGUACUACACCUGUCCCAAUAAUCCUAGCGGAAACUUUCAGAUCCUUGAAUGCAUGCCGGAGAGCGAGCGAGGGAAGAUUUAUUGGUUGUGCACAGCUUCUUUUGGCUUGGCUCCACAGUCAUUUUUGGAAGGUGGAGAAGGUCUCCUACCGAGUAUUCUCUAAGAAUUAUUCCUCAUUAAGAGAAUUAGUGGCCCCAUCAAGGAGGGACGGCAUCUCAGAAGAGAAGUGGAUUGCUAUUCUCCAAAAUUUGCGGGACGAAGACAUUAAAUGGAGAGCUUUGUGGUUGAUUCCUGACGAGAUCUUAUAUAGGUGCGGUGAUUUUGACUGGGUCCCUCUGGCUAGAAUAUGAGGAGCUAUUAGAUACGCUCCACUGAUGGUGCUAAGACAGUACCGAUCAAGGCAGUUUAUACCGGUGACACAGGGGUUGGCACAAUGUGAGUUCUCCUAUAAAGAUGAAAAUUAUAAGAGGAGGGUUCGCGAGAUAUCAGAUGCUUGGAACCAAACUCGGAGAAUGAAAAGAUUCACCACAGGUCCGAUGACGACCCCCGAGUAUGAAUGGUGGCAGGGUAGGAGAGCCAACGACAACAUCCCUAGACCGAAUCAAGGGAGCACUCAACCAAUAGAGGAGCAUUUACGAGUCAUUCCAUCCGAGUUAGAGAUCAUUAGGCAAGACUUCGAGAAAAGGAACUUUGAGAUGGGAAAGAAGGUAGAGCAGCUAGAGGAAGAGAAAAUGAAGUUGGGAUUAGACGUCGAUAUUCACAAGCUAGAGGCCGAGAAAUUAAGGAAAGGAAAGAACAAGGCCGAGGAAGAUCUGGUUAGUCUGAAAACCGAUUACAAGAAGCUGUGCAUGUCGAUAAGAACUGCUGGUUUAGGUAAAACGUCAGAGCAAUGGCGCCAAGAGAUCAAAGAGGAAAAGACUAGAUCUGACCGUUGGGAGAAAAAGUUUCAAGAUGCCCGAGAACGAGAGGACACUCUGAAAAAGAGUUUGAUAGAAAGUCAAAAAGAAAAGGAGAAGUUACGAGCUCGGGUGGCUGAAUUGGAGAGAUCACUACAUCAACAUCGUGGCUGUGAUUCCAUAAUGGAGCUGAAUGUUAGUCUAAGCAGGAUUGAGGAGUUGAAAGGGAGAGUAGAGGAACUCAAGACUGCGCUGCGAGAUAACAAAAUUCGAGUAAAACUUCUUGAGGCAAACAAUGACCAUUGUAGGGAACAGCUUCACCACUCUCAAGACUAGAUUAGAGAAAGAGACUAUGUCAUGGGCGAAGCUGUGGCUCAGGUUCGGGAAGUAGCCGAUCACUUGCAAACCUUGGCAGUUCAGGCUGAUGUAUUGAGCUUAAAGUACGAGUCAGAAUCAGAUUGAGGUUGAAAGCUUGGCUUCUUAGGAAAAUUAAGGCUUUAGGCAUUAGGGCGAAGUCGUAUAUGUAAUAGUCCGUUCUAUGUAAAGAAAUUUUUCUUCUAGUGAAGUUCUUCUAAUGAAAUUGAAUUAGAAUCAACAUUUUUUUUUGCAUUCAUGCAGUUGCAUUACAUCACAUCAUAUGCAUUCAAAGUUAUAGAAAGAUCCUAAUUAGUUAAAGUUUACUUCUAGAAAGGUAGAAAAGAAAACCUGGAAAUCACACAUCCUUACGGCACUCAUACUAAAACUAAGAACAUGGAUCAAAGGUUCGAGCAAUUACAAAAAGAUAUGCAAGAUCAAAUGCAAGAACAGUUGGCCAAAAUGCACAAUGAAAUGAGGGAGCAGAUGUUAGAGGCUCAAAGAAACAUGAUGGCUGAAAUGACUCAGCUGUUGAGAGCCACUGAUAAAGGAAAAGCUCCCAUGGCGAUCACUGAAGAGGAGAAUGAAGGUCCUCCUCCGGGUUUUACUCCGCCUCACGUGCCCUUACAAACCGAGGCACCUCCUAGAAGGCCAUCUGUCAUAGUGAGGCCUCAACAUGGGCCGGUGGAUGCUGGAAUCCCCAUAAAUUUCCCAUCUGGGUUGGGAAAUAAUUUGGGUGAUAGCUCGAUCAACUCUAUUACUCCUGAUCUGGAUUUAAUGAAGAAGGAAAGAAUGGCCACUGAAUCCUCGAAAUAAUUAAAAGAUCGUUGUAGGUGGUUAGAGGAAAAGUUUAGGGUUUUAGAAGGCACUGACAAUCAUCAUGGGAUUGAUGCCAAAGACUUAAGUUUGGUUCCAGAUUUGGUGCUUCCUCAUAAAUUUAAGAUGCCAGAGUUUGAAAAGUACAACGGGACUACUUGCCCAGAAGCACACAUAAUAAUGUUUUGUAGAAGAAUGACUGGUUAUGUGAACAACGAUCAACUAUUGAUCCAUUAUUUUUAGGACAGCCUAGUGGGAGCGGCGGCUAGGUGGUACAAUCAGUUGAGCCGUGCAAGAAUCGGUUCAUGGAGAGAUCUUGCACAGGCUUUUAUGCAACAGUGUAACCAUGUGACUGAUAUGACGCCAGAUAGGAUCACACUUCAAAACAUGGAGAAAAAGCCUAAUGAAAAUUUUAGGCAAUAUGCACAACGAUGGAGGGAGGUGGCAAUGCAAGUACAACCACUAUUGUUGGAAAAGAAAACCACCAUGAUAUUUAUUAACACUUUGAAGGCUCCAUUUAUUACCCACAUGAUUGGAAGCACUACCAAAAGUUUUGCAAACAUAGUCAUGGCAGGAGAAAUGAUUGAGAAUGCCAUAAGGGGUGGCAAAAUUGAGGGGGAAGCAGCCAAAAGAUCGGCCCCAAGAAGAAAAGACAAUGAGGUGAACUACACAAGUAGUUUCAAUUCGAAGGCAGUCACAGUUAGUCAGCCCAAAGUGGCUACAAGUGGGCAGCAAAGUACUCAAAGACAGGAAUCAGGAUCAAGACAAAAUUCGGAGAGGAUGCAAUUUACGCCUAUCCUUGUGACGUAUCGGGAGCUUUAUCAAAGCCUAUAUGAUGCACACGCUAUUGCUCCAUUUCACUUGAAACCGUUACAGCCCCCGUACCCCAAAUGGUAUGAUGCAAAUUCUAAAUGCGAAUAUCAUGCGGGAAUACCGGAACAUUCAAUUGAAAAUUGCAUUGGAUUCAAGAAAGCCGUGGAAAGGCUUAUCAAGAUGGGGGUUGUGAGAUUCGACAAUACCCCUAACGCUGAAAAUUCGUUACCAGAUCAUGUCAAUCAAGGAGUGAAUGCCAUUGAUGGAACUAGGGAAGGAAUAAUCAAGGAAAAUGUUACUGAGGUGAGAAUGCCUUUGAGGGUAAUUUGGAAAGAGAUGGUGAAGAGAGGGAUGAUAGCCUCUGAGAAAGAAAGAAAAAAAAUGAGGAAUUACUGUGAGUUCCAUGGAAAAAAGGGUCAUGAGACCCAAAAUUGUGAAGAAUUCAAAGCUUUGGUGCAAGGCUUCAUUGAUAAUAAAGAGCUGCAAGUUUUUGAAGGUAGCUCUUAAAAAAAAGAAAUAAAUGCGUCGAAAGAUAAACAACAAGAAAUUAGCCGGCCAAGAAUUAUGAUUUCCUUGUCGAGGAACAAUGAAGUGGGGACGCAAGCUAGGCCCAAGGUUGUAAUCCAUAAACAUGUAUCCUUUCCUUAUAAGGAUAACAAAAGGGUGCCAUGGAGUUAUAACUGCCAUGUGUCGUUGCUAGAGAAAGAAGAUGUAGCCAGUGCGUCCAAGGAUAUACAAAUCGAGGGUUCUCAUACGCGGAGUGGGAAGCGGUAUGAUGUUGUAGGCAUCAGAGAGAAGUCCACAAAAAUAAGGAAUGCUAGUGUGGAGAAAGAAAAAGAAGUUGAAAUGCCCAUCAAGGAGCCGGUAAAGGAGGAUGAGGCUAAGGAAUUUCGGAAGUUCUUUAAGCAUAGUGAAUAUAAGUGGUCGAGCAGUUGCGCAAACAGCCGACUCGCAUAUCAGUAUUGGCUUUACUUCUGAGUUCUGAGGCGCAUAGGGAAGCAUUGAUGAAUGUGCUUAACGAGACAUAUGUCACCCAUGACAUAUACGUUAACAAGUUGGACCGGUUGGUGAAUAAUAUUAGCGCAGAUAAUUUCAUCUACUUCAAUGAUGAUGAAAUCCCACCUGAGGGCAUAGGAUCAACCAAGGCCUUGCACAUCACUACUCGGUGCAAGGGUUACACGCUUCCAAGUGUACUCAUUGAUAACGGGUCAGCUUUGAACAUCCUUCCAUUAUCCACAUUGAACAGAUUACCCAUUGACAGUUCGCAUAUGAAAACAUGUCACAAUGUGGUAAGAGCCUUCGAUGGAACCGAAAGGAAAGUGAUGGGACGAAUUGACAUCCCUUUGGAAAUUGGGCCAAAUACAUAUGAAGUUGAUUUCCUGGUGAUGGAUAUCAAGCCCUCAUAUUAUUGUUUAUUGGGGAGACUAUGGAUACACUCGACAGGAGCAGUGCCCUCCUUAUUGCACCAAAAGUUGAAGUCAGUGACAGAUGGGCGGUUAAUAACCAUCAACGCGGAGAAGGACAUUUUAGCAGUAGUCACUAGCAAGGCCCCUUAUGUCGAGGCGGAUGAAGAGGCUAUUGAGUGUUCUUUUCACUCUUUAGAAAUCAUCAAUGCAACCUUCAUUUUGGAAGGAAGUGAGGUUCCGAUACCCAAAAUGUCUUGAGCCACAAGGAUGGCCCUGCAAAUGAUGAUGGGAAAAGGGGCAUUGCCAGGAAAAGGACUAGGAAGACAGUUACAAGGAGGGAUUCAAAUCCCAAAACUGAUUGAGAAGAAAUAUCGCUUUGGUUUAGGCUUCAAGCCAGACCAUAAGCACAAAAGGCAGGAGAUUGAGAGGCGCCAAGCGAGAAGAAAGGCGCGUUUGAAUGGAAGAGAAGUGGAGUGGGAACCGAUGACAUUCCCACCUAUAUCCAAAUCCUUUAAAUCAGGAGGACUGCUAAUAAAGGAAUGUCAUCAAGUUAAUGCUGUAUACAAUGAAGGACCGGAGCAAGGAAGCCUCGAGGGCAUUCACCCUUACGAACCGGGGAGCUCUAUGAAUAAUUGGACUGCGGAGGACCUUCCUGUAGUCUUUAGGAAUUUUUCAGAGUAAUUCUCAAAACAUGUCUGUUACUCUAGGGCCUAGGAGUAGUAAGAUUAUAUUUGUGAAAUAGGCUUAUGUUCAUCUAUAAUUAUUUAAAUAAAACAUAACUUUUAUCAAUUUUAAACAAGCAUUGUUUCAUUUUUCCCAACCAAUAUUCAUUUAAAUUUUGACAAUUCUUAUUCUUUUAUUCAUAGCACAAAAACAAUCAUUCUUAGAUUCAUUCAUUCUUUGUAUACUCUUUCAUACCCCACAGGUCUCUAGAUAUCAAUGAUAGGAGCACUGAUACUGUCACUCCUGAUUUCUCUUACACGCAAGACAUGUGUUUAGAAGAAUCUCAUGAUUUUGAAAAUGUCCAAGAUCGUGACGUACCCCUCGAUCUGUUAAGAAUGGUAAAGCAGGAGGAGAAACAAAUUACACCACAUGAGAAAGAGGCAAUAGAGAAUAUAGCCCUAGAGGAAGGGAAAGAGUUGAAAAUUGGAACAUUGAUUACCGAGGACACAAGGCAUAGUCUGGUUGAGUUGAUUCGAGAGUUCAAGGAUAUCUUCGCCUGGUCAUAUCAGGACAUGCCCGGAUUAAGUAUUGACAUUGUAGUACAUCGUCUUCCGAUAAGGCAGGAUUGUAAGCCAGUCCAACAGAAGUUGCGGAGGAUGCGGCCAGACAUUGUUCUAAAAAUAAAAGAUGAGGUUAAGAAGCUGCUCGAUGCAGGGUUCUUACAAGAAGCAAAAUACUCUGAAUGGUUAGCUAACAUUGUACCAGUUCCUAAGAAAGACGGGAAGGUACGAAGGUGUGUUGAUUACAGAGAUUUAAAUAAAUCUAGCCCCAAAGAUAAUUUCCCUCUACCACAUAUAGACACUGUGGUGGAUAACACAGCAGGAUAUUCGUUGUUUUCCUUCAUGGAUGGUUUCUCAGGAUACAAUCAAAUAAAGAUACAUCCAGAGGACAUGGAUAAAACCACCUUCAUAACCUUAUGGAGCACCUUUUGCUACAAAGUGAUGACGUUUGGACUGAAGAACGCAGGGGCAACAUACCAACGGGCCAUGGUAAACUUAUUCCACGACAUGAUGCAUAAGGAUAUUGAGGUAUACGUUGAUGAUAUGAUUGCCAAGUCACAUACAGAAAAAGAGCACAUUGAGGUCUUGAGAAGAUUGUUCUUGAGGUUGAGAAAAUUUCAGUUGAAGCUCAAUCCAGUAAAGUGUACCUUUGGAGCCAGAUCGGGAAAGUUAUUAGGUUUUGUAGUCAGUGAAAAGGGAAUUGAAGUCGACUCAGACAAGGUCAGAGCCAUACGAGAGUUACCUCCACCACGUACUCAGAAGGAAUUUCGAGGAUUCCUAGGAAGGUUGAAUUACAUCGCUCGGUUCAUCUCACAACUAACCGAAAAAUGUGACCCUAUCUUUCACCUCCUCAGAAAGCACAAUCAAGGUACUUGGGAUGAGGAAUGCCAGAAUGCUUUUGAAAAUGUCAAGCAGUAUUUGUUGAAUGCUCCAGUAUUAUCUCCACCUUGCCUAGAUAAGCCGUUAAUACUAUACUUGUCAGUGUUCAGUAAUUCUAUGGGAUGUGUGCUUGGUCAGCAUGACGAGUCAGGGUAAAAGGAGAAGGCAAUCUAUUAUCUCAGUAAGAAGUUCAUUGACUGUGAGAUGAGAUAUCCACUGAUUGAAAAGUUAUGUUGUGCUCUGAUUUGGACAACUCGGAGAUUAAGACAGUACAUGCUAUACCAUACCACUUGGCUCAUCCCAAAGCUUGAUCCAUUGAAAUACAUGAUGGAGUCAACGGCUCUGAAUGGAAGGAUGGCAAGAUGGCAAAUUUUGCUUUCAGAAUUUGAUAUAAUCUACAUAAGUCAGAGGGCUAUAAAAGGAAGUGCGGUAGCAGAUUUCUUGGCCAGUAGGGCUCUAAAGGAUUAUGAGCCAUUGAACUUUGAUUUUCCAAAUGAGGAGUUGAUGUGUAUAACAACGGCUGAAGAUUCUUCUUGGAAGCUUAAUUUUGAUGGGGCUUCUAAUGCAGUCGGAAAUGGAAUCGGGGCAAUCUUGGUAUCCCCAAAUGGCAAUCACUACCCUUUCACGUACAAGUUGGACUUUGAUUGCACGAAUAAUAUGGCUGAGUAUGAAGCAUGCAUCAUGGGACUACAAGCAGCUAUAGAGCGAGGUAUAAAAACCCUAAAAGUAUAUGGAGAUUCUGCAUUGGUAAUUUAUCAACUCAGAGGUGAAUGGGAAACAAGGGACCCUAAAUUGAUCAAUUAUCGAAAGGUAGUUUUGGGGCUGCUUGAGGAGUUUGAUGACGUCACCUUCAAUUAUUUCCCACGAGACGAAAAUCAAAUGGCAGAUGCUUUAGCAACCUUGGCCUCAAUGAUUAAGGCAAAUAAAGAAGAAGAGUUAAGACCAAUUCAAAUGAGUGUCUACGAGGCUCCAGCACAUUGUUGCAACAUUGAGAAGGAAUAAGAGGAUGAUAACCCUUGGUAUCAGGAUAUAUUACGAUAUGUGAGGGAUCGUAAAUACCCUGAACAAGCCAAUGAAAAUGACAAACGAACGUUGAGAAGGCUAGCUUGCGACUAUGUCUUGCACGGGGAUAUCUUGUACAAGAGAAGGAAAGACCAAGUAUUUUUGAGAUGUGUUGAUGCCGUGGAAGCUAAGCUAAUUUUAGAAGAAGUUCAUGAAGGCGUAUGCGGGAUACAUGCAAAUGGGUUCACGAUGGCUAGACAAAUCAUGAGAUUUGGAUAUUAUUGGUCUACCAUGGAAAGGGAUUGUAUCAACUACGCCAAGAAAUGUCAUAAAUGUCAGAUUUAUGGAGACAAGAUACAUGUACCACCUUCACCUCUACAUGUUAUGACUUCUCCAUGGCCCUUUUCCAUGUGGGGCAUGGAUGUCAUUAGACCAAUAUCACCGAAGACUUCAAAUGGACAUCAGUUUAUCUUCGUGGUCAUUGACUACUUCACAAAAUGGGUAGAGGCCACUUCUUAUGCGAAUGUUACUAAGUCAGCUGUGAGUCGAUUCUUGAAGAAAGAGAUCAUUUGUCAGUAUAGAAUGCCUGAGAAGAUCAUAUCCGACAAUGCAUUGAACCUAAACAACAAAACAAUAGCGGAGGUUUGCGAUCAGUUCAAGAUCAAGCAUCACAAUUCUUCCCCGUAUCGUCCAAAAAUGAAUGGGGCAGUGGAGGCCGCCAACAAGAAUAUUAAGAAAAUGAAUGACGUGUGUCCAGGCCGUUUGAAGUCUGCACUUAAUUUUAAGAAUUUAAUUCGCCACACGGCCUAAGCACACGGGCGUUGACUUAGCCGUGUGACCUUAUUUUGUUGAUAAUGUCAUAAUCAGGGAGUUACAUGGGCUGAGGACACGGGUGUGUCCCAAGCCACACGGGCGUGUGUGGCCACUCAACCUACCAACACAGGUGUGUGACUCUCCAAAGUAUGAAAAUUAUCUAAGGGUAGUAAAAGUUUUGAAAGUUUUCAGUUUAGUCCUGAACCACCCCCAACGUAUGUUUUGGGCCUCUUAGGCCUUUGUAAGGGACAAUUUGCAUGUGAUUGGAAAAUUUUAAAUUUGGAUGAAAUUUUAUGGCUUGGCAUUGUUUGAUAGUUUACGUUUAAGUCCGGUAAUGCCUCAAACCCUAUCUCGGUGUCGGAUACAGGUAAGGGGUGUUACAUUCUUCAACAUUCAAAAUUUUGCCACAAAUAUCUUUCAUUAUAUUGGAUAGUUCAAUUAUACAAGACGUCACCUUUUUUGACAUACAACACCGUAAAGCAACUGGCAGUAAGUCUUGCAUCAAGAUGUGAUAAUCAUGUGAUUUUAAGGAAUAUAGUCUUCGAUCUUUAAGACUCACACAUCGAGAUAUAUUUGAUGCAUACUCAUCUGAGACCUUUAUAUCCUUCAACACCAUGUAGAACACUUCUUUCUCUUUAUUCGACAUUACAAAAAUAGAAUGCGGCAACUGAUAUUUCUUAUUCGGAAGUACUUGGGGAUGAACAUCACGCUGAAUUCCCAUGUCAACUAAAUUAAGUCGACUCUAAAGAUUGUCUUUUGAUUUUCCAUCGACAUUCAAAAUUGUCCCAAUGAUGUUCUUACAAACAUUCUUCUCAAUAUUCAUGACAUCAAGAUUAUGUCGUAAAAUGUGAUGCUCCUAAUAAGACAACUCAAAAAAAUACUUUUUUUUUCCACAAGUCCGCCUCAUUAGUAUCAUCCUCUUCAUUAGAUUUAUCAUCAGAUUCAUUCCUGGAUCUUCUCUUUGUUUGCAUGUUGGGUGGUUGAUUCAUCUUCCCAUAACUGAAAUUGAUGUCUUUCAACAUGAACAAGAUUUCAGAUCCAAUGGUCUACUCAGAAGCUUCUCUGAAUUCUUUAGUAGCGUCAAAUAGAGUCCUCUAAAAUCUAUAUCUAUGAUUUCAAUCUAACCACUGAUGAUGUCCCAUAUAAGAGAAGUUCUUCCCAUUAUAUAACCACUUCGAACAUGUUUGCACAGCACAACAAGGACAAGCAUAACGUCCUUUGGUACUCCAACCAGUUAAAUUGAAAUAAGCCGAAAAAUCAUUAAUAGUCUACUACAAAGCUGCACGUAAAUAAAAGUUCUCCUUUCUCAAUACAUCAUACGUCUCAACACCCGCCCAUAACUGUUUUAUCUCUUCAAUAAGUGGCUGCAAAUAAAUGUCAAUAUCAUUUCUGGGACCUUUCUCUCCAGGAUAAUCAUAAAUAAGAUAAAAUAAUAUUGCUUCAUUCAAAUCCAGGGAGGCAAAUUGUAAGGCACAAGCAUUACAGGCCAAGUACUGUACGAAGUGCUCAUGAUUUUAUAAGGAUCAAAUCCAUUAGAUGCUAGCCCAAGCCUCCCACUCCGAGGAUCACUAGCAAAGCUUGGAAAUUUACUGUUAAAUGAUUUCCAAGCUAAAGAAUCCAUAGUAUAUCUUAAUAAUCUAUCAUCGGUUCGUUGAUCAUGAUGCCACGUCAUAGACUCAACUGUCUUUGACAACAUGAAAAGCCUUUAAAGCCUUGGUAUUAGCAGAAAAUAUCAAAAAAUCUUAAUUGGCUUCUUUCUUGACUAUGCCUCAUAUUCAUCCUCAUUCACAUCUUCUAAAUUUCUAUUCAUCCAAUGAGAUUUACCGCAAACAUGACAAGACUGUUGGUUUUUCCGAUCACCCCAAUACAACAUGCAAUCAUUUGUGCAACUAUGAAUUUUGUUGUAUCCAAGACCUAAAUCUUUUAUAAGUUUCUUCAUAUCUUUGCAUGAAUGAGGGAUUUUUGUAAACGGAAACAUAUCUCUCAAAAACUCUAACAGCAUUGUCAAAGAGUUUUCGAUCCAUCCUCCCAAACAUUUUAAGUGAAAAAGACGAAUACAGAAAGACAUUUUUAAAAAUUUUGAUCCCUCAUAAAGUUCUUCAUUCAUUUCAUUAAGUAACGUGUAGAACUUUGCCGCUUCUCCAUUUGGCUCUUCAUCAGGUACACUUAUUCUCGUUUCAGUAAAAGCAUUUCCACCAAGAUUACAAUUAUUGGAUGCAAUAAAGUCCAGUGGAAACGAUUGCAAACCAUGACUGUGCAUAUUAAAUACAUCCCGCAACAUACCUUCCAUGUCAUCUUCUCUAACAGACUGAUGGUAAGCACUAUGAGGAUAAGCCGGAUUAAUCGUUGAAGAGGUUCUACUCGGUGUACACUUUCCAUGAAAAAUCCAUUUUUUAUACCCCCGAAUAAACCCAUUAACAAUUUAAUGUUCAUAGACAACUUCAUGAAAAUGCCAAUUGAUGUUGUCACACUUCUUACAUGGGCAAAGAAUCAUGUUCUCUUGGCUUGCAUUUUGAAAUGCAAAAUUUAGAAAAGUUUGUACUCCAUUUUGAUAGUCGUUGCUUACCCUUGACAAAUUCAUCCAAGUCUUAUCCAUUUCGUAAUUCUUGAAGUUUAAAGUUGACAAUAAAUUACACGAGUAAGUUGUUUAUUUAUAAGUAUAAUUAAGUUAUGUAAGUUAUGAUAUGAUAUAUAUUUAUGUAUUAUGUAAGCUACGUAAGUUAUGUGAGUUAUGUAAGUUAUGAUAUGAUAUAUAUAAGUUAUUAAGUUAAGAUCUAAAGUUUUUUUUAAUUCUUUAAAGUUAUGUAUAUUAUGUAAGUUAUGUAAGUUUUGAUAUGAUAUAUAUUUACGUAAGUUAUGUAAAUUAUGCAAGUUAUGUAAGUUAUGAUUUAUAUUUAUAAGUUUUAAAAACAUUUAAAAAUAUUAAAUAUUAAAAUCAAACAUUAUUAAUAUAAAAAAAGAAUAGUAAUUUGAUUUUUAUAUUAAAAUAAAUUUAAACAAUGAUAAAUGUUAUUAUAUUGAUUAAAAAUAUUUAUAAGUUUUAAAAACAUUUAAAAAUAUUAAAUAUUAAAAUCAAACAUUAUUAAUAUAAAAAAAUUAAUUAGUAUUAAAUAUAUACUUUUAGUAAAAAAAUAGUAUUUAAUCAUAUAAAAAAUUAAUAUUUUUUAGUCAAAAUAUUAAAAAAUCAUGUUAAUAUUUAAAUAGAAAAAUUACAAGUUCAAAUAGUGCAACUAAUUGAUUGCAAAAAAAAAAUGCACAAGUUUAAAUUGUCUAGUAAUAAACUUGAAAAUUUAUAGACUAAUAUGGAAAUUCAAAAACCCUUUGAAAUUAGACUAAAAUGGGUUUACUACAUUCACUGUUUACUACAUGGGUUUAUCGCUUCUAUAAACUCAAAUUAGACAUUGUUGAGGAAAUAGAACACAUUCUUAUAAAGUAACAGGCUAAUGGAUACAAAAAGUUAAUUUAAUAAGCACUUCAAAAUAAUUCUCUCCAUGGUAUGUAAAGAUACCAAAUUCCUAAAUAGAGUAGUCCCAACUAAUACCAAAUUCAAACCUAAAUUUAAAAAACGAAAAAAUAAAUAAAUAAAAGAUUAACUAACCUUCUGGUUAUCUAGGAUUUUUGUGUAUUGCUUUAGUGUAUGAAAGCUACCAAAUUUGCCAGCUGAGUAGGAAUUCCUCCAGCCAAAUUGGAAUCACACUAACUUUAUGAUCUAUCACAAUUUCAUCCAAAGAUUACUUCAAACUUCUCAGCUCGCUUAAUUUAAAGAAUUUUUGCACUUAUAUUUUAUAUAUCUCUUUGUUCUAAUAUAUUCUACUUUGGAACUUGAUUGUCAAUCUUUUUUAUUUUCGUUCACUAUACAAUUUAAUCUAUGAAAUUUCAAAGAAACAGAAAAUGAUAUAGGUCUAUGCAAUAUAUAUGCCAAAUGAAAUCAAGCAAGGAAAUCAUGAAUUAACAAUGAAGCAAUAGUUUACUUACCACACCAAGAGAGAGGUAAUAAGGUAGUAAACUGUAUUCAGUAGCCCAUAAGACAAAACCCCAGAAAUUUCAUAUUGUCUCAACUUCUUCAGCAUACUGAGAACCGAAGAACAAGAACCAACAAAAAAAUUAGCCCCACAUGUAACACCCCUUACUCAUAUCUGUCGCUGGAACAUGUUUACAGAGUAUUACCAAGGAUAACUGAAUAUGUAUAAUCAAUUCUAAACAAAUUUAUCAUUCAUAAAUGAAAACAUUUAAAACAUCCCUUAAAUAGACCUUCGUGGCCCAAUAUGAACUUUAGAAUUGAGUUGAGACUUAUUUGGAGUCUCAGAGAAAUUUUCACGAAACUAGAAAAUUUUUCACACAUGCAUUGCUCACACGCCCGUGUGGCUUAGGGACACACCCGUGUGGGCAGGCCGUGUGGUUACACACUCCCAUGUCCUGACCCGUGUAACUAUCUGACUUAGAUCCUAUGAACAAAUUGAAGCUGCACGGCCAAGUCACACGCCCAUGUGCUAGGCCGUGUGGUUAUUUUAAAUUUUACAAUUUAAGUGCAGGUUUCACACGGCCAAAUCACAUGGCUGUGUCUAAGACCAUGUUACCCACACGGCUGAGACACACGCCCGUGUCUCUGCCUGUGUGCUUAAUUCAGAGCAUUCUACUUUUAAAUUUUAAGGUGCAGGGGACACACAGCUAUAACACAUACCCAUAGGACAAGCCGUGUGUCACACACGGCCUAGACACACGCCCGUGUGUCUACCCGUGUGGAUGAAAAUAGGCCAUUUUAGGACUACAUUUCUCACCCUUUUUAUAAUCUAUCUACACAUAACCUUCAAAUACACAAAUAUUUCCAAACCAGUCAAUCAAAUCAGCCAAAACACAAGUUUUUCAUCUACCAACAUACCAUAAUACUACUACUUUAUCCUAAUUUAUCAAAAUGAUUUCAUUCAUAACCUUACCAGAAUAACUUCAAAACAUAGAUAUUCAAACAUACAAAUACCAAUACUUCAAAAGUAAAUCUUUCAACCCUAUCCUAUACAUGCCAUAUAAAUCAAAAGUUGUAUUCAAAAGCUACCGGUGUAACUCUGGAUAGUGCUUCCCGAUGUGUUGAUCCAAUCUACCAAUAUCAUGCAAAUCUACAGGAACUAUUAACAUACAAAGUUAGCUUUGGGAGCUUAGUAAGUUCAUAGGUUCAUAAUAACAAGCUUACCAAGCAUUCACAACCAAUUCAAUAAAUAAUAUUAAACAUUCAAUUCCUGCCAAAUACAAUUUCGAACGAUGAGUUCACUUAAUUGAGCUUAAUGCCCAAAUAUCAAUUCAUAGUUCAACACUUAGCCUCAACUAUCACUUAUCCACACAUAUCAAACUAAGGGAGGACUUACGGAUUUGAGUACAUUGUUUGCUCAGUAUCACGAUUCACAACUCAGUAUGGUUAAUACCAUACCUACGUUUCACAACUCAGUAUAGAAAAUACCAUGCAUAUGUAUUAUAGCUCGAUAUGGAUAAUACCAUACCUACGUGUCAUAGCUUAGUAUGGAUAAUACCAUACCUACGUGUCAUAACUUUGCCAUGGAUUAUCCAUGGUCUUAUCCGUCAAUUCAUCACUUAUCACAACACGAACGUACUAAAUCCUGCGUUUUCCUCAAUUUGAACUUCUAAUCCGAUCUUUAUAAUGUUUCACAUUAUUAACAAUACAAUAGCAACAUAUAGAUGACAUCACAUCAUUUCUAAUUUAACAAAUAAUCACACAAUUCAACCAUAUGAACUUACCUGGGCCAAUUUGUAAAAGUUAUAAUAUUUCAGGGACUAUUCAGUAACUUUUCCUUUUCCUUGUUUAUCUUCUGAUUCUUGAUCUAGAAUAUAAAAUUAUUUACUCAUCAGAAUCUACUUCAAUUCCAAUUCAAUUCUUUAUGUCCUUCAAUUUUUAAAAUUACACAUUUACCCUAAACUUUACAAUUUUUACAAUUUAGUCCCUGCUCAACUCAACCCCCAAUUAAGCUGAUUUUUCCUCAAUUAACACUUUAUUCUAUCAUCUUAAACUAUUUCACAACCUUUGAAAAUCAGAAUUUCAGCAUCAAACCUUAAUUCCCAACUUUUCACAAUUAAGUUCAAAAAAUCGAUUUUUACACAAAAACAUUUAAUAAACCCAUCUUUUAAUAAAAUUAAAACUUCAAACCCAUGUUUAUUCAUUAUAAACUUCCAAUACUCAACCAUGGUAACUUUCAAUUUCAUCCAUAAAAUCAAAACUAAUGAAUUAAAUGGUAGGACGUAGUUGUAAAAGUCAUAAAUCAUGAAUAAUUUUAAAGAAAUAGCAAGAAUUGAACUCAAAUGGUAUGAAAAUAUGAAAAAUAAACUUGUUCCAGACCUCCUAUGGCGUUUUUUCUGAUGAAUUAUGAAGAAAUCUCUAGAUUUUCAAUUUAGUCUUUGUUUUAUAUGUUUAAUUUACAAAAUUUCAAAUUUUGCCCUUGUUUCUCCUUAUUUUUCUUGCUAAUUCUUAUGCCCAAACCGUCUAGACCAUUUAAUUUGGGUCUAAUUCCCUUUUAAAACCCUUCUCAUUAGUUACUUAAGCUUUUUUAUCACUAAUUAACUAAUUUUGUACCUUUUUCAAUUUAGUCGUUUUUAACCAAUUGACUAUCCAAACGUUAAAAUUUUCUAACGAAACUUUAAUACUAUUUUAAUGAUACUCCAUAAAUAUUUCUAAAAAUAUUUAUGGCUUGGUUUAUGAGUCCGAGGUUGAUUGCGUGAUUCGUAAUAAAUAAUAAAUAUUUAUAAUGAAGAUCAAACCUAGACUAACUAUUAUCACGACGAAAAGGCAAGCGCACCUAUCGAACAAUAGUAUAGUAACGGCAAGACCGGGAUAUCAUACCCAAGGGAACCGAAAUUACCAGUAAUAACUAUCUUUUUAUUAUCUAGCCUAGGAAUAAAAGGAUUUGUUUAUUAAACUAAUUAUCUAAACUAAUUAACUAAUUUAAUUAAAGCGAAGAGAAAAUUUGGAAAAAGACUUGAAGAGAAGCAAUUGAUAAAGACGACACCUAAUGAGGAAUCCACGUAGAUUUCACUUGUUAUCUGACUCUGAACAGGACAAUUUAUUCACUUGACUUGAUCCGUGAGACUCCUUAACCUAUGUUAUUAUCCCUUUCGAGACUAAUAACGUCUAACCCUCAGUUGAAUUAAUCAAAAUUUCUUUCUUAAUUAAAACCCCUAGGGAAGCAGUAAAUCACUCUAUGAACUCCCAUAUUAGGUUUCACCCUCAUCCAGAAAAAUCUCGUAACCUUAUUUCUAGGCGUUCGAUCAACUCCGCUUAAUUAUGCCAAAUCUACUCUUAGGCAGGGUCUAUUCCUCCUCUGCAUAAGCAUAUCAAAUCAUGAAUUAAUACCCAGACUAUUAACUUAAGCAUUAAGAAAACAUAAUUAAGAACAAAUCAAGUAUUUAUCAUACAGUUCAGAUAAUAAUAACAAGAUCCAUCAUAGGUUUUAUCCCCCUUAGGUAUCUAAGGGGUUUAGUUCAUAAUAAAAUAAGAGUACAUCUCAAAAGUAUAAAAAUAACAAAACAUGAAGAAAACUCUAAAACCGCUGAAGAAAUUCUGAGAGAGAUCUUCAGUCUUGGAGUGGCUCCGGCUUUUGGGAUGGAUUGUCUGGCUUCAUUCAAGUAAUUCCUGGCUUGUGGUUCUGUAUUCCUGAAAAGUUCUGGAAGAGGCCCCCUCUCUAGGUCAUACUGAGGGUGUUUAUAUAUGCUUUGGAUUGGAUUUCUUCCUCCCUCAGUACCCUUUUCCGUGUAAAAUACAACUCUUUGAAAAAGGGACACGCCUGUGUGCCACGGCCGUGUGACAUGAUUGCCAGGCCGUGUUCGAUCCGUUAAAUUGCCACGGCCGUGUGGGCUCAAUAGCCAGGCCGUGUGAAUCGUGUAAACCUUGGUAGACACCCCCGAAGGCCACGAGCGUGUGAGAUGCCCGUGUGGCAAGGCUUAGGCCGUGUGAUCUUCUCGAUUUGGUCCGUUUUGUCCCCUUUUAGCUCGUUUUUGGCUCCUUUUGACUCUUGGUGCUCUCCUGAGUACAAAACAUGAAAUAACCGGAUUAAGAGUACCAAAAUUCACAAAUCUAGUAGUAAACAUCCAUAAAUAUGCUAAGUAUUUGGGGUAAAACUAUGUAUAAUUUGGCAUUUAUCAGAGGUCUCGAUACCUCGUUUUAAACCAAAUUUACUUUUAAUUUAUUUUAAGAUCACAAAAUUCACUAAUCCAAAAAUUCUUCUUCCAUCACAGUUGACUCAUAGGAAUUUAUUUAUUUAAUUUUAAAACUCAAUUUUCAAAUUUAGUGAUCUCAAAUCACUAUUUCCGACACCACUAAAAAUUAGGCUGUUACACCACAUAUGUAACAUUCCGAAAUAGGGUCUAGUCAAAACAGUAAUUUUGGGACCACGAAUCUGAAAUUGAAAUAUUUAUUUGAUCAUUUUUAUGAGGUCUAGAAUAUGAGAAUAUACAUGUGUUAAAGUUUCAUGAAGAAAUUCUAUAAGUAAGGUGUCCAAUUGGAGAAUAAUGACCAAAUUGAAUAAAUUGUAAAAUUUGGAUUCUAGAAGCAAUUUGUAUGAAAUUUAUUUAGAAUAUUAAUUAGAAGGUCUUAAAGAGCAAUUUCCCAAUUUCUAAGUUUUUGGAGAAAAAUGGCCUUGUAUGGAUGAAAUUUUAAAGAAAGGGCUUAAGGGCAUUUUGGUCAUUUAGCUAAUUAAUGAAAUAAAAUGGGAAAAAUAAGCCAAAAAUAACCCAUUCUUCUCCCUUGUCUAGCCUAAAUUCUCAAUCUCUCCAUAGCUAGGGUUUUCAACAUUUUCAAGCUCAAUAGUAAGUGCUCCCAAGCCCCGUUUUUAAUGUUCUUCGUAUUUUUAAAAUCCCGAUAACUUACUCUCUCUAUUUCUACCCAUAUUUCAUGCUAGGCUUUAUGUUUAGAAAUUUACCCACGCAUGAGGUACUUGUAUUUUAAUGGUUUAUAGAGGAAUAUGAAAAUUUAAAAGAUGGUAAACAACUUUUACUAAGUAAUUUUUUAUGGAAAUGGCUUUAGGGAUCAUUUUGUGAAACUUGUAAAAAUGGGUAGAAAGAUGAUAAAUAAUGGAAAAAUUUUGGCUACCAUAAGGGGAAAGAACAUUCGGCUAGGCUUGGGUAAGGUAGAAAUUUCAUGCAUUUCAUUAUACGAGCCUAGGGACUAAAUCAUAAAAAUGUGAAACGUUAGGGGCAAAAUGGUCAUUUGGAUCAGGGGUGAAAUUUAGACUCGAAUAGUAUAAUGCGAGGUGUUAAUGAUUCAUUUUUAUUGUUAUAGACCGCGAAGAACAAAUUCUGGAGGUCGAUCGAGGAAAACGAAAGGUUUCGGAAUAACCGAAACAGGAUACCGGAAUGAGUACCAGGUAAGUUCGAAUAACUAAAAGUAAACCCAUAAUAUGUUUAAUUUCAUGAUUUAUGAAUGUAUGAUAUUUGCAUUUGAUGAUGGCAUGAAAAUCCAUGAAAUGCAUCCUUAAUAAUGACAUGUUGAUAAAUGUCCCGGUUGAGGUUAAAAAGGGAAAUUCGAUGGAUAAACCAAGGUUUACAUGUAACUUGAGAUCCUGCAUGUGUUGCAGAAAGGAUUUAGCCUGGACGGGUAAUCCGUUGAUCUCAAUAUAGAAAGGAUCUAGCACGGAUGGGUGUUCCUUGAGUGAUCUAGCCUCCCGAAGAAUAUGGGUGCAUUGUGGAUUUAGCCCGGACGGGUAAUCCGAUUAGGGUCUGAAUUUAACCGGACUGGUAAUUUAGAUCUGAGCUCAUUAAGGGUGGUUGUCGCUAUAAGGGAUUUAGCCAGGACUGGAAAUCCCGACAUCACCUUAUGAGUUUAUAUGACGGUGGAUUUAGCCUGGACUGAUUAUCCCGCCAUAAGAUGUGAGGUUCGCGAGAGUGCAUAUAUGAAAUGAUCACUCUUAUGACUUGACGGUAAAUGAAUAAUCCAUUGAGAUUCCUGAGAAACUUAAUGGGAUAAUAUGAGAUAUGUAUAAAUGGAAAUGUUGAAUGAUGAACUCAUCUAAGAUUAAUUACAUGGUGCAUUGUUAUGUGACUAACUUGUUGAUUUAGUACAUGUGAUAGGGAAACCAUUCCAUUCUUGUUGGUUUUAUUGUCUAAUAUGGUUGUAUGCUAAUUAAUCGGUAAGUUUACUUUCCAGUUAUUCGGGAUUACUAAGCAUGUAAAUGUUUACCCCUCUCUUUUCCCUGUCUUACAGAGCUCGAGGACUCAUAAAGGUUGGAGAUGAUUGGAGAAUUAACACACUAUCAAAUAGUCCAGCUUUGGUAUAUAGACACUCUUAUUUUGUUCAAUGGCAUGUAUAAGGUUUUUAUUUAUUUUGUUAUAUGUGUCAUUUGAUUUUCCAAAAUGAAGGCAUGUAAAGGUAAACAUAUCUAUUUGUAUAUGGCCAUGGGAAUCGACCCAUUUUGAUGUAGGCUACGACUUACAAAUUUAUGCAUGCUUAUGCUUAAUUGUUCUAGUGAGGAUCAAGUGUGGUAUCUCACAUUUAGUUACAUAGAAUGUGACCAAAUCACACGGGAUUGCUUGGCUAUAAUUGGCAAUGAAUUAUAAUAAUGAGCCAAUCUUAAAAGUGUCACAAGGCAUAAAAAUCCUUAAUACAAGAGAAAUAACCUAGCAUGUGUAAAACCGAUGAAAUGAGGUUUACAUGCAAUGAGGUUUAUUGAGGUUUGCAUGCAAUGAGGUUUAUAGAAAUCUAUAAGUGAGAGUGGAGGAUAGAGGGUGACCAAAGGCUUGGAAAAUAGCCUAACAAGGUCUACACGGGUAGGCACACAGACAUGUGUCUAGGCCGUGUGUGACACAAGGAUCACCUCAUGGGCGUCUAAUAUGACCGUGUGUCCCCUGCACCUAAAAUUUUGAAGUCAGAAUGUAUGGUAGUAAACACACGGGUAGAGACACGGCCGUGUGUCUCAGCCGUGUAGAGGGCACGGCCUAGCACACGGGCGUGUGUCUUGGCCGUGUACCCCUAAAUGCAUGCUGACGUCAUAAAUAGAAUGCUCGAGUUUUUAGACACCGGCGACCACCCGGGCGUGUCUAGGCUGUGUGAAGGACACGGGCCAGGGACAUGGGCGUGUGCUUGGCCGUGUGAAAACCUCUGUAGGUUCGAAGUAGAAAAUAAAUUCAACUAAUUCCACACAGGUAAGUGACACGGGCGUGUCUCAAAGUACACGGACGUGUCCCAAAGUACACGGAGUGUGCUAUGUCUCCACACGAGCGUGUGAGACACUAACUUGGAAUUUUUCUUAAAAUUUUCUCAGGUCCUCGGUUUAGUCCUGGACCACUUUCAAUGUAUGUUUUGAGCCUAGUUGGCACACAAUAGAGACACCAAGAUGUUAUUGGAUUCGUUCCACAUUGGAACGAAAUUCUAUAACCUGUAUUUCCCGAAAAUGUUCUAGUACAUGCCUGGUUACAUGUCGUACCUAGUUCUGGUCUCGGGUACGGGUAAGGGGUAUUACAUUUAGUGGUAUCAGAGCUACGAUUUAGUCGAUUCUAGGACUACCGUAGAGAGUAUUGAGUUUCGCUAUACAUGCCAUUAUUCGAACGUUGAUAGUGUGACAUCUCCUAACUGUUUAAUUGUCUUUGAAUAUAGUAAAUGUCUUCCAAUCAAGCACAAGAUAAGCCUUAGGGAGCCGAGAGCCAUGCUCCAGCUUCCGUACAACGAACUGUUUCUAGUAAUAGUAAAAGGCUUAUGUCUGAAGGCCAGGAAGAGGCCAGAGUCGCCUUCUUUGACAUGAUGGACGAGUGGUUUGGGGAUUAUUUAAAGAAUUGCCCCAAUAUACCACGACCUCCCCCGCCCCCUAACCAACCUGAUGAGGAAUUGCCACGAGGUAUGACGCCUGUAAGAAUUGGUAAAGCCCCUAUAGAUAAAAUUAGAAAGUAUGGGGCUGAGGAAUUCAGAGCUAAAAUCAAUGACGAUGCUGAAAAAGCUAAGUUCUGGCUCGAGAAUACUACAUGGGUAUUAGACGAAUUAUCGUGCAGACCCGAGGAGUGCUUAAAGUGUGCCGUGUCACUCCUAAAGGAUGCUGCUUACCACUGGUGGAAGACCGUAUCUUCAGUGGUGCCAAAAGAAAACAUCACUUGGGAAUUUUUCCAAGCAGAGUUUAAGAAGAAAUACAUCAGUCAUGUAACACCCCUUACCCGUGUUCGACGCCGAAACAGGGUACGAGGCAUUACCGAACUUAAUCACUAAUCAUCGUAUAAAAACCGAUUCAUAAUUUCACUCUAAUUUAAAACUUUUUCAAACACAUUCAAGCUGUCCCUUCAAAAGAGCUUACAAGGCCCAUAUCAUGCUUUAAUUCAACCACACACAUAGGUAAGUAUGCACAUUCAUAAAUUGCAUCAUUUAAUUAAUAACAUAAUCAAGACUAUCUACAUUAAAUGACUUUAUACAAUAGAGACCUUCAAAUAACAUAAGUCUGUAUUUUAAGCCAAUUUCUAGCAACUUAAUAACAAUUAAACGAGUCUCCAUACAUGCCAAAGACUUAAAAUACUUUAAAACCUUUAUAUAUCGAUCAAUAGUUUGAUAGUGUGAUUUAACCUCCGGCGACCUCCAACUCGAGCUAACAUCUUCGACACUAUAGGAAAAAGGAAAGGAAGGGAGUAAGCAUUAUAGCUUAGUAAAUAAGUAAAUAAAUAUUUUUAAGCAAUACAUUAUCAUACUUUAAACAAAGUCACAAUAUGUUCCCGGAAUAUUACCAUUACAAACACACAUACUUUCACUAUUACAGUCAUAAACAGGUUCAAAUAAGUUGUCUAGUAGAGUACUAGAAACUAAAUCAUUUAUUUCUGGAGGUAAAAAACUCCAAAUUACAAACCCUUAAUUUUCCUUGAAACUAUAUUCACAUAUAUUAUUACCAUAAAAUUUUCAGAAUUUUUCGGUCUAGCCAAUUAGUACAUUUUAUUCAUUAAAGUUACCCCUUUUUCACUGCUCAACUGUUCUAACCACUCUUCACUACGAAUCAAUUUUAUCCUCAUACAGAAUUCAAAGGAUGUUUUAGUUUAUUGCAUUUGAAACUAGACUCAUUAAGGAUUUCAUGCAUAUAAAUUAUAUCCCCUAAUUAUAUUUCUACAAUUUUUAAUGAUUUUUCCAAGUCAGAAAAGGGGAUCACGUAGUCAUUCUGAACCAGUCUCUCAAAAACUUAAAUAUCUCAUAAUAUAGAAUUCCUUUGCUUGCUCUGUUUUUGUUAUAUGAAAAUAUACUGAUUAAGCUCUAAUUUGAUAUCUCAUUUAGUCUCUGAUUCAAUUUAUACUAUUUUUGGUAAAUUUUUAGAUUCAUGUCACUGCAACUAUCCAGAACAGUUUUAUUGUCAAUUUUGAUCUUUCACACUUCAAUUGUAUUCAUCACUUUCCCAUAACAACCUUUCCAAUUUCCAAUCACAUAUCGAGCAUAUUGCUCAUAAGUUACACAGUAUAUACUUACACUUAUCAUCACAAAGUCAUACACAAUUUCAUUUAAUCAAUUUCCCAGUUGAACGCUUCGGAAUAAUAAUAGAUAUGCGAUGGUAUCGCACACAGCCCACCUUUAAAAUCGAAGCUCUCUUGUACACAUAGUGGCCUUCACUUAGCACCACUCAUGUGACCUAGCUCGAUUGUACACAUAAUUUUGGCUCUCUUGUACACAUGGUGAACACUUAGUACCACCCAUGUGACCUAGCCAGUUUAUCUCGUAGCUCUCUUGUCUACAUGGUGUCCUUCACUUAGAACCACGCAUGCGACCUAGCUACAUAUAUCCUGUAGCUCUCUUGUCUACAUGGUAUAUACAUAGUAUCACCCAUGCGACCUAGCUACAUCAAAAUGUCUCGUAGCUCUCUUGUACACAUGAUGUGCACUCAGUACCAUACAUGUGACCUAGCUACAUACCAUCUGUAUCAUCCAAUCUUUCCGAAGGUUCAACCGGGAUUUCUCUUUCUUUCUAAUACUUGAUUCCAUACUUCCAAUAGUUAAUUAUGAUUCAAAAAUCAGCUACAAUACAUAAAAUAUGCUGAAAUACAAAAACAUAAUAAAGAUAAUGCAUUAUUUACAUACAAACUUACAUACUUUCUCAUUCCAUGUCGAAUUAAUAUUGAAUAUUUAAAUCAUCAUAAUUAUACUUACUUUCAACACCUCGGAAAUCAUAGUAAAUAUAUCAAUUUUACAUUGAAACAUGCAUAAAUUAAUUCUUAUUAUACAUAUGAACUUACCUCGAUACUAAAACGGCCAUUUUACCAACUUUCUUGAUUUUCAAUUUUUCUCCCAUUCUAGAUUCAAAUCUCGUUUUUCGGUAUCUAAAACAUCAUAUUUUACUUAUUUAAUUAAUGUAAUAUUCAAAACAGUCCUUAACUCAAACUUUGACAAAAUUACAAUUUUGCCCCUAAACUUUUGCAUAUUUACACUUUUGCCUUUAGGCUCGGGAAUUAAACUUCAUCCCUUAUUCUUAUGUUUUAUGACAUUUUGAUCAUUUUUCCCUUCUAUGACAACAUCAAAUUCUCACUCUAACACAUCGUUAUGAACAAUAACAACUUUUACCGAUUAAACCGUUUUACUCAUUUUUGCUUAAAACCGCUUAGCAAAAGUUGUUUAACAUAAUUUCAGCCUUCAUAUUCUACCAUAAAACAUCAAAAUAAACACAUUUCACAUAUGGGUAUUUUUCCAAAUAUGAACCCUAGCUUAAAUUAUUGCUAGAAUAAGCUUAAUCAAGUUACCGGGAUUCCAAAAUCGUAAAGAACUUGAAAAACGGGGCUAGAACGGACUUACUCUUGAGCUUGAAAAGCUUGAAAACCCUAGCCAUGGCUUCCCCCAUGCUAAUUUCGGCCUCCAUGAAAAAUAUGAGUCAAUUUUGGCUUUAUUUUCCCUUUUUAUUUCUUUUAAUUACCAAAUACUAAAAUGCCCUUAAAGCCUUUCUUUAAAAUUUUGUCCUAUUCAUGCCCAUUUUUGUCCAAAAAAAAUAGAAUGGUCUAAUUUCCAUUUAAGGCCCUCGUCUUUAAACCCACAUUUCAAUCAAGUACUUAUGAAUUAGAACACAUAUUUUGCAACUUUUGAAAUUUAGUCCUAAAAGUCCAAUUAAGCACUUUAUCAGUAAAAUUACUUAACGAUAUUUUUACACAAUAUUUUAAUCAAUAAAUAAACCUUAAAACUUAAUCGGAAUAAAUUUUUCAACUUCAAAUUCGUGGUUCCAAAAUCAUCGUUCCGUUUAGGCCCUAAAUCGGGCUGUUACAGCAACUUCUGCAAAUAAGCCCUAAUAGGCAAAUUAAACAUGAAAUCUAUAAAAUUUCUUAUCAAUACUCUAACACAUGCAGCAAAUCACUUGGUAAAUCAUAAAAAUUAAUCGAAAUAAAAUUUUCUAUCUCAAAUUUGUGGUUUCGCAACCACUAUUCCAUUUAGGCCCUAUUUCGAGAUGUUACAAGUCCAAGGUUUUUAGACUCGAAACGAAAGGAGUUCCUGGAACUCAAACAAUGAAAGACUGUAGCGGAAUAUGAAAAAAAGUUUGUAAGGCUAAGUCAGUAUGCAACUAAAUAGGCUCAAACCGAGUCAGAAAUGUGUUAACGCUUCGAGGAAGGUCUGAAUGAGGAAAUCAAGCUGUUGAUUGGGAUUAUUAAAAUACAGGAGUUUGCUGCAUUAGUGGAUCGGGCCAAGAAGGCCGAGGAGCUCAAUAAUUAAAGGAAAUAAGCAAAGAGAGAGGCUUGAGUUUCGAGCAAAGGAUCUAGCGGUAAGACGCUCUCAUUUCCCAUAAAGAAGUCAAUGAGCCAACAUGAACGCUCCACUUUAUCGGUAGGAUAUUCGGGUAGAGCGAGAGGCUCCAAACGACGUAAUCAGAAGUUUUCUUUCCCAAUAGUGACCUGCGUGGGGAGUGUGGAUGACCAAAAGCCGAAGUGUAAAAGCUGUAAUAAAUUUCACUUCAGAGAGUGUCGAAUGAAGGGCGGUGCAUGCUAUAGGUGUGGUUCUCUUGACCACUUCUUCAGAGACUGCCCUGAGCGAACUGAUAAAGAGGUGGAAGUAGCCCCGAAAUCGAGUAUUUCUAUUCCACGAGGUAGACCUCCGAGGUAUUCUGGAAGUGCUAGUGGCAGUCAGGUUGCAGCCAAAGAUACUGCAAAGUCAGAGACUCGAGCCCCGACAAGAACGAAUGCAAUACACGCUCGAGAGGAAGCCUUUGCUCCUGACGUCAUCACAAGUACCUUUUCUGUUUUUAAUACUUGUGUUGUUGCCUUAAUUGAUCCGGGGUCGGCGCAUUCAUACAUUUGCAUGAGAUUGGUGUCUAGUAUGAAUAUACCCAUUGAACCUACGAAAUUUAUAAUCAGAGUGUCAAACCCAUUAAGCAAGUCAGUCCUGGUUGAUAAAGUCUGUAAGAAUUGUCCUUUGACAAUUUAGGGUCAUUGUUUUCCGGCUAACCUUAUGUUAUUGCCAUUUGAUGAGUUUGAUGUAAUACUUGGUAUGGAUUGGUUAGCCCUGCAUGAUGUAAUUGUAAACUGUGGUAGCAAGUAUAUUGAAUUGAAGUGCCCAGAUGGUGAGAUUCUAAGGGUUGAUUCAAGAGAAUUAGAUACACCGCCGGUUGUAAUCACAGCAAUGGUUGCUCAAAGAUAUAUGAGAAAAGGGUACGAAGCCUACCUUACUUUUGUUCUGAAUACUAAGGAAACAGAGUUGAAGAUUGAGUCUGUGACAAUUGUAUGUGACAAUAGUCCAUGACAAUGGUCAGAGGAUCUUGUUCUCAUGCUCAUAUCGAAAUUUUAGGAAAAUGAAUAAUUUGGGUAACAUAAAUGCAAUAAAUAUUGUAUUUCAAUCAAAAUAGUAUAAAUGGGAGCAAACACAAAUAAAUAAUUUAAUAAAAAGCACGUAGUAAAUACUCUUUAGAUGAAAAAAACGAUUCUCCUUGACUAGCUUCACUCUUUCUAAACAUGACAGAUUAGAUAAUUAAGACACUGUAUCCUAGGUGAGUAGGAAAGGAAUGAUAUAAAUCAAAUCCAAAUAAUAUUUUACAUAUGUCAACUGACUGGUGAAUCAAAAUUAUGAAUGCUAAAAACUAAUAGUAUAAUAAUGCAAUAUAUAUGCCAAAUGAAAUCAAGCAAGGAGAUCAUGAACUAACAAUGAAGCAAUAAUUUACUUACCACACCAAGAGAAAGGUAAUAAGGUAGUAAACUGUAUUCAGUAGCCCAUAAGACAACACCCCAGAAAUUCCAUAUUGUCUUGAUUUCUUCAACACACUGAGAUAGCAAAACGAAUGCAAAAAAAAUGUAGUAGACAAUUUAUCAAACAAAGUGCCUUUCAAAUCAAAUUCAAUAUAAACACAAAGGCAGCUAUAUUAGAAACAACAUCAACAGAUGACAUGCAUUAUCUAUUUUCAAAGAGAUUGAAACUAAAUAAAUGGUCCAUAUAAGUAGUAACGAAGUGCUCAUGAUUUUAUAAAGUUAUGUUGUUUUGACUCUUUAUUUUUCUUGAAAUAUCAUAUUUCUGGACAUACGCAUGGAGAUAUAACUCUCCAAAAACAAAGAAAUAACCUUGGAGAAACUAAAUAUACCCAUAUCGUACGCAUAACUGCAUGACUAUAUCCUACCCUCACACCUAAGUUCAAGAACAAACUUACUAGGAUUUUGUUGGUUUCGAUGAAGAGAACGGCGAUGAGAAAUUUUUUGUUCUUAUUGCUAGUGAAAGAUGACAAAAAAAGGAGGGGAUUUAGGGAAAAGAGAUAGUGUUUUUGAUCAGUUAGAGGAAAUUGAGGAAAAGAAAUUGGAGAGGAAAAAUGAUUUCUUGAUCAGUUAGGGUUUUCAAUCAGUUAGGGGAUUUGGGAAAAAUUUCAGGGAAAUCUGAUUUGGGGAAGAAAAUAGAAUUUCGGCAUUUAAGUCAAAUCUAAUUUAGGGAAGAAAACUACGCCGUUUAAGUCAAAUUGGUAUUGCAAUAUUUGCGGCGCUUAUAAAAAACGCCACCAGUUGUAUAACUUUUGUAGCAUUUUCAGUAAAAACACCACAAAAAAAUUAAAUUUUUGUAGUGAAAUGGCGCCAUUUUGAAAAACUUUAAUAAAUAGUUGCGGCGUUUUUGAGACAAACGCCGCUAAUGAUUGACUUUUUUUUACAAUUUUAUAUUUAAUUAUUAUAUAAUUCAUAUCAAUUUUAAAUAAAUAAUUUUUGAAAAUUUAAGUAAUAUUUAAAAGAAUUAGAUAAAUUUUAAAAUUUUUAUAUAAUUUUUUAUGUAAGAAAAUAAAAACAAAAACAAAAAAUUUCAAAAUAUGAAAAAAAAAGCUUUAAAAAACUAUAAUGAUAAGUUUAAUAUAUUAAAAUUCAUAUUAUCUCUUUUAAAAUUAUAUAAUAAAUUUUUUAAUAUAUAAAUUAAAAAAAUUAAUCAAUCAUAUACCCAAAACACUUUAAAAUUAUUUUAAAUAAUAAUAUUUUAAUUUUUUCAUUUUGAACAUAUAUUUUUCUAUGUUUUUACUUUCAAAUUUUUCUACAUGUCAUUAAUUUUUUCUAAAGAUUUUAAAUAUUAAAUUAAAAAUAAAUUGUAUUUUAAUUAAUAUAUAGAAACUAGUUAAAUAAUAAGAAGAAGAUGAAAGAGUGCAUGAGUUGUUGAAAAGAAUACAUGAUGACCACUUGGAUGAUGAGUGAGAAUACAGGAGCAAAACAACACCGUUUUGUUUAAAAUUAGACCCUAAACACUAAAUCAUAAACCCUAAUCCCCUAAACCUUAAAUCUUAAACUCUAAACCCUAAGCCUUAGCCCUUAACCCUUAAACCCUAAACUAUAAACACUAAACCUUAAACUUACACCCUAAACUGUAAACACUAAAUCCUUAACACUAAAUCAUAAACCAUAAACCUUAAACCCCAAACCAUAAACAUACACCCUAAACCCAAAAUAUAUAUAUUACAAGGGACAAAAGUAAUUAAAAAAGAAUCUUAUUGCUUACUUAAAUCCUAAAAUAAAUUAAUUUUUUAUCAUUUUAUAAAAACCCUAACCUUAAACUGUAAUAGCCUAACCCUUAAAACCAUGAAUAGUACUAAGACCCUAAUUAUAAAAUAAUAAACCCUAAACCUUAAACUCUAGAUCAUAAACCCUAAACACAAAACUCUAAUCUCAAAAUAAUAAGCAUUAUAUCAUAAACCCUAAAACCCUAAACCAUAAACAUUAAAACUUAAAUACUAAACCUUAAACCUUAAAAUAAAAUGAUUUUUUUGCUGCGUUUUUAUCGCUAAUGCCACUAAAGCUCAACAACAAAUGAUGUCGUUUUGCUCAACUUUUUUGCGGCAUUUUCUGAAGAGCGUCGCUAAUGCUCGAUCUACAGUGACGUUUUUCAACAAGCACCGCUAAUUCUCGAUUUAUUGCGGCGUUCUUUAAAAAGCGCCGCUAAUGCCACCAAAGCUCAACAACAAACGAUGUCAUUUUGGUUAAAUUUUUUGAUGCGUUUUUCAAAAAGCGCUGCUAAUACACGAGCUAUAGCAGAAUUUUUCAAUAAUCGUCGCUAAUUCUUGAUUUAUUGCGGCAUUUUUUAAAAAGCGCCGCUAAUGCCACUAAAGUUCAACAACAAGUGAUGUGUUUUGCUUAAAUUUUUUGCGGUGUUUUCCUAAAAGCGCAUCUAAUGCUCGAUCUAUAACGGCAUUUUUCAAGAAGCGCAGCUAAUGCUCGACCUAUAGCGGCGUUUGUUUCGUAAACGCCGCUAUAGCGCUAACCUUUUAUGGUGUUUUCAUACUAGCGCCACUAAUGUACAACUUUUGCGGCGUUUUGGUUCAAGCAUUGCUAUAAGCGCCACUAAAAACCUGUUUUGCUGUAGUGUACAAAUAUCCUGUUUUUGUAACAAUCUAGCUAACGUGUAACACCCCUUAACCCUUAUUUGUCGCCAGAAUAGGGCUACGAAGUAUUACUGAAUUUAACAGAAUAAAUACGAACAAUCACAUAACAAUUUAUCAUACACAUUAUAAAUUUAAUCAUAAUGUCCCUUUAUUGAGCCCUCGAGGCCCAAAUCAUGUGUUGGAAAUAAAUCGGGACUUAAUCGGAAGUUUAGAAAAUUUUUCGUGAAAUUUCAAAAUUUUUCCUAAGUACAGGACUCACACACCCAUGCUUCAGGCCGUGUCUAACCCCGUGUAACUUUUUGACUUAAACAAAAAUUAAGUGCAGUUUCCACAUUGCCGAUACACAUGCCCGUGUGUUAGGCCGUGUGCCUCACACAGCUGAGACACAAGCCCGUGUCUCUGCCCGUGUGGAGAUUCCUGGGCAUUCUAUUUUGAAAAUUUUAAAAUCCAAGGGACACACGGUGUAAUAUUCUGAAAAUUUUUACAGUAAAAUAUUAUCUGUGAUAUAGUAAAAUAAGGAAAUAAAGUGACAAAAAGGGAAAUUUUGAGUUAUGUCAAUAUUGGGAAGUAUAUUAUGAUAUAUUAAUUCAAGAAAGGACUAAAUUGUAAAAGUGAGAAAUGUUUUGUUGCACAAGAGCAAAUACUCAAAAUUUGAGGGGUUAAAGUGUAAAUAUGAAAAAGUUGAAGGAUUCCAAAAAUUUUUACAGUAAAUAUUAUCUGUGAUAUAGUAAAAUAAGGAAAUAAAGUGACAAAAAGGGAAAUUUUAAGUUAUGUCAAUAUUGGGAAGUAUAUUAUGAUAUAUUAAUUCAAGAAAGGACUAAAUUGUAAAAGUGAGAAAAGUUUUGUUGCACAAGAGUAAAUACUCAAAAUUUGAGGGGUUAAAGUGUAAAUACGAAAAAGUUGAAGGACCAAUAGUGUAAAUAUUUUAAGGGUGGAAUGAUCUAGAAACUAAGGAAAAUGGAUGAAUUAGGACCAAAUUGAAUAGAUGAAUAACUUUGAGGGACUAAACUAUAAUUUUACCAAAUUAAAUGAUGACUCAAGGAUGGAAUUUUAAAAGAUAAUGAAGGGCAAAAUGGUCAAUUGGAAGAGAGAGAAAUCUAGAAAGUAAUAAUGAUGCUAGAGAUAUUUUGAUAUUUUAUAAUUAUUUAAUUAGAUAAAUAUUAUUUUAUUAAUAUUUUAAUAAUAUAUAUUUUUAUUAUUUUAUUAGUAUAUAAAGAAAGAAAGAUGUGGAAUUCUCAUCCAUAUUUCUCAUGCACUAACAUGAAAGAAAGAGAGAAAGAAAUAAAAUUUUAUUUUCUUUACAAUUUGGUCCUUUUACCAAAAAUUCACCAUUUUCACCCAAAAAUCAAAAGAAUUUCCAUAGAUACCAAGAGAGAAAAAUGUUAAGGAGACCAUGGGGAGUUAAAAUAUCAAGUUGGAUUCAAGAAAUAGAAGCUGGAGGAAAGAGACAAUCAAGUUAAAGAUUAGUAUCAAUAGAACAAGGUAAGUAUAUCAAGAUUUCAAUAUGUUUUUAAGUUUGUUAUUAUUGACAAAGCAUGGAAAUAAUGUUAUAGUAGAGUUUUCUUACAUAAGGUCCUAUGUUCUUGAUAUGUUAGUGAAGAGAAAAUAAGAGAAAGUGAUGAGAAAUGGUGUAGAAAAAGAAAAUAAGGGUGUUAUAACAUGGUAAUUAAUAUCUUAUACUAAAACAGUUUUGGACAACAGCAGCAGUCUAAUUUUGAAAAAUCAUCAAAAAUUGUAUAAAUUUAAUUAUAGGAUAAAUAAAAUAUGAAAUUAAAUCUUAUUAAGUCUAGCUUCUUAUAGAAGAAAUAAUGUAAGCAAUGGAAUUGUAAAUCAUGAGAUAUAAUAAAUUUUGUGAGACAAGGUCAGAAUGAUUUCGGGUUCCCCUGUUCUAACUUUGGAAAGUCAUCAAAAAUUGGAAAAAAAUAAUUAUGAGCUUAAAUUUAUAUUUUUAUAAUUCUAAAUGCGUCUAUUUUCAAUAAAAUCAAACAUAAAAAUCAUUUGAAUUCUGUACGAGGAGAUAAUUAAUUUUUAGUGAAGAAGGGUCAGAACUGUCAGACAGCAGAACAGGGGAAAAUUUAAAGAAUAAAUUGUACUUAUUGGCUGAACCAAAAAUUCUGAAAAUUAUAUUGUAAGAAUAUAUAUGAGUCUAGUUUCAAGGAAAAUUAGCAGAUCUUAAUUUGGAGUUCUAUAGCUCCAUAUAUGAAUAAUUUAUUGACUAUGACACAGAUGGACAGCUUGAAUAUUCAUAAAAGUAAAUAAUAAAAAAAUAUAGAUAAUGUUUCUUACAAGUGUGUUAUAUACAUUAAGGAUGUGGAAUGGAGUGGAGGAGGAGGAAAACAUAUAUGAAUAUUCAUUUAGCAUGGCUAAUUUGCAUAUUUUAGGCUCAAGGACUAAAUUGAAUAAAAGUAAAGCUUUAUGGGCAAUUUUGUAAAAAUGUCAGAAAUGACCAAAUUGCGUGAAAUGGAUUAAUUCUAUUAUUUAAAAUUACAAAAUUGAAUGAAAUCAUUAAUUUAGUUCAAGAUAGGGGAAAACAUGUUUUAGGAAUUAAAUUGAAAAGUGUUGAAAUUAUUGAAAAUUUUGAUAUUUUAUAGAAUUCAUGGAUUGUUAUCAAUAUGUAUGAGAAUAAUAGCUGGAAAUAAGGAUUAAAUUGCAAAAAUUUUAUUUUCCUGACCCUAAGGAUGAAAUCGUCAUUAAUUAAAAGUUUAGGGGCAAAAUGAUAAUUUUUCCUAGAGCAUUAAUUAAAUGCAUUAGAAUAUGAAAUGAAUGAAAAUGAUGAUCAAAUUUAUUUAUAAAGAUCCGGAUGACUCAAAUAUGAGACUUGAUCGUGGAAAAGAAAAGAUAUCGGAUUAAUGAAAUUAUAAACACAAACAAGUAAUGAGGUAAGUUUAUGUAACUUGAAUUGUAUUUUAAAUACUUGAAAAAUGUGGUUAUGUGAUAAAAAUAUGAUUUGAAUGUUCAAUUCAUGAUAAUUGAUGAAAUAUUGCUAAUACUCGAUAUAAAUUGAAAAUAAAUCCCGGAAUGAAAGGAAAAUUCGAUGGAUCUCUGAAAAGGAAUUGACGGUAAAAAGGAUCUAGCCCGGACGAGUGAUCCUAUUCUGAUAUAGCCCUCCCGAAGAAUACGUGUAAAAUGGAUUUAGCCCGGACGGGUAAUCCGAAUUAGGGUCUGAAUUUAGCCUGGACUGGUAAUUCAGACCAAGCUCAUUAGUGUAAUUGUCGUUGCAGGGGAUUUAGCCUGGACUGGUAAUCCCACUGUAAGGAUGAGGGUCGCGGGAGUGUGCUCUCUGAUAUGAAAUGUGUAAGACCAUGGUUGAAAGAUACCAUGGCAACGUGAUAUGAAAUGAAUAAGACCAUGGUUGAAAGAUACCAUGGCAACGUGAUAUGAAAUGAAUAUGACCAUGGUUGAAAGAUACCAUGGCAAUGUGACAUGAAAAGAAUAAGACCAUGGUUGAAAGAUACCAUGGCAACAUGACAGAAAAUGAGUAAGACCAUAGUUGAAAGACACUAUGGCAUCAUGUCAAAGAUAAAUAAGACCGUGGAUGGGAGACGCUAUGACAUCUAUUGAACAAUUGAUAUUCAGGUAAUACGUAUCAGAUGACGAAUGGUUAUAUAAAAUGGUUGUGUGAAAUGUUUACAAGAACUGGUCAUAUGGAAAUAUAUGUACAAAAUAGUUGUAUGAAAUAAUUAUGAAGAUAGAUAAACGAAAUAAGUAUAAGUACAUGGAAUAUAAUUUAUGUUAAGUUUGAUAUAAACUAUUACCGGAAUAAAUAUACAUAAAAUAUAUGGAAAGGAUGGAGCAUGAAAUAUUGAUAUAAUGAAAUGAAUGAUAUAUGCUUAUGAAGAAACGGUAAGAGCAUGAUAUGUUUCAUGACAUGUACAUAUAUGAUUAUCUUUGAGAUGUUGAUACAAGGAAAUUAUGUAAGUUGAGACUAUUAUUAAACUCAAGUGCGAUAUGUCGAGAAAAUAAGUAUAUCAAUGUUGAAUUUAGAUGAAAUAUGUGCAAGUAUACUAACAAUGAUGUUGUUUGAUGCUUAGAAAAGUGCCAUGCUAUUGAUUGAAUGGUAACAUGUUUAAUUAUAAGGAGCAUUGAAAUAGUAAGUACUUAGAUGAAAAUAAAAUUUAAGAUUUUGCGAAAUUUUUUUUCUAUGAUCCCGAUUUAAUUCCGGUUGGUUUCUAAUGUAUGUUUGGGGCUUCGAGGGCCCAAUAGAGAGACGUUAUGAUUAUUUUCAAAAUAUGAAUAAUAAAUGACUCAGAAUUAUCUGAAAAUGUUCAGUAAACUUCGGUAAUGCCUCGUACCCUAUUCCGGCAAUGGAUAAGGUAGGGGGUGUUACACAUGGCCUAUCAACACGCUCAUGCAUAAGCCGUGUGUCUCACACGGUCUGAUCACACGCCUGUGUGCCAGGCUGUGUGGACUCAAAAUGAGCCUUAUACAUCAAGUUUACCAACCCUACAAAUCUUGAACCUCAAGCAACACAAAAACCAAACAUUCAACUAAUCCAAAACACAUUCAAAUUGUAACAACCCGAUUUUGGGCCUAGUCACAACAGUGGUCUCGGGACCACAAAUCUAAAGAUAGAAAUUUUUUUUUAUUAUUUUUAUGAGGUUAUAAUACGAUUAUAUUAGUGCAUGAAAAAUUUGGUGAGUUAAUUUUAAUAUUUUCAAGCCCGAUUGCGAAAAAUGACUAAAUCGCAUAAAAGGCAAAAGUUACAUUUUAGUACCCAAAGGUGCCAAGUAGCUAGAAAAUUAAAAUUAAGAGUAUUUAAAGGGCAUUUAGACCUUAUUGGAAUGGUUUGGCCUGCCAUAAGACAAGAAAAUGGGUGGUCAACAUGUUAGGUAUUUUGAUGACCUCAUAUGUAAUAAUUUAAUGCCUAAAAGCCUAGUUUUUAUUUUUCCCUCACUCCUUCUUCCUUUUUGACCAAAAAUAUCAUCAAAUAUUGAGGUUUUAAAGCUCAAAAAUCUACAGCAACUUAAAGCACUCAUAAGUAAGUGAUUUUAAUUAGUUUUCUUCAAGAUUUUUAUAUUUUUGAGACCCUUGAAGCAUGAGCUUUCAAAUGAGGGUGAUAUCUUACAAAAUGGUCAAGAGUUUAAGAUUUUUCCAUGGAUGUAUUUGUGGUAUAUUCUGAGUUUUUAUGGAGGAAUAUGAGUCCUAUUUGUGUUAUAAACAACUUUUAUGAAGGGUGUUAGCAUGAAAACACCUAAAGGGACUAUUUUGCAUAAGUUGCAAAUUAAAUAAUAAGUGUGUGAAAUAGUGAGAAUUUGGGGUUGAUCUAGUAGUAAAAAGAGUUUAUCUAGGCUUGAAAUACGAAUAAAUUUGAUAAAAAUCAAAUUUUGAGCAUGGGGUAAAAUGGUCAUUUUACUAAAGGCUAGGGGCAAAAUGGUCAUUUUAUUAAAGAUAUAAAUUUUAGAUAGGCUAAUUGUGUUUAAUGAUUGAAUGAGUGCAUUUUGUUAUUAUAGAUCAAGAUUUUCCAAAAUCGAGCCUAGACCAAGGCAAAGCCAAGCAAUUCGAUUAAGCCGAUUAGUCAAGUACUUUUUGUAAACUGAGGUAAGUUGUAUGUAAAUAGUACAACUAUAUUACUAAUGCAUGUAUUCGAUUGUUAUUGAUUUGAUAUAACAUAAAUUUAUAGAAUUGGAACUAAGUAUAUGUAUUUAUGAUUGAGAAAGUCGAAAGAUCCAGUAAGAACCCUGAGGAAACAAACCGGAUAUUCAUGCCAUGACAUUGGGUUAUGUGAGAGCCAGUAUAAGACCAUGUCUGGGACAUGGCAUCGGCAUUGAGACGAGGGCUAGUGUAAGACGUGUCUGGGACAUGCAUCAGUCACAUCAUGAUAGCCCGUGUAAGACCAUGUCUAGGACAUGGCAUCGGCGUAGAGGUGAGUGCAAGUGUAAGACAUGUCUGGGACAUGCAUCAGCCUCGAUGAUGUUAGCCAGUGUAAGACGUGUCUGGGACAUACAUCGGCUAAGUUUCAUGCUAGUGUAAGACAUGUCUGGGACAUGCAUAGCACGUAUACACGAGAGCUAGUGUAAGACCAUGUCUGGGACAUGGCAUCGGCCUCGAUGGAGAUAGCCAGCGUAAAACCAUGUCUGGGACAUGGCAGCGGCAACUUAACCCAUGUCUGAGACUUAUAGAAUAUUCGGUAGUAUUCCAAAAGGUUCAACUUUAAGAGUUAAGAAAGAGAUUUAAUAAAGAAAGUAUGAUAAUGCUGUAAGUGUUACAGGUACCUUUUUGGUAUGCAUGAGUAAUGAGCUCGAUUAGAAAAUAUAAUUUGAGUUGAUGGUAAUGAGUAAGCCCAGUUUGUAUUUACCUUUGAGCUAUGAGGAUAAUUGAUAAAUGGUAAAGUUGUUGUUGUAGAUAUAUUUAUAUGUAACUUACUAAGCUUUAUGCUUACUCUCUUUCCCUUCCAUUUUUCUUUCAGUAUUGCCAUUUUGCUCGAGGAUCCCUUGAAGUCAGAGAUAUUGAUCACACUAUCAGCCGUAAUACUCGGUAUACUUAGAUUUAUAUUUUUGAUUAUGCCACGUAUAGGGCUAGACUAGGGAGUCAUAUUAUUGAGAAAUUGUUUAUGUAUAUUGGCUUAAGAUAAAAGCCCUUCAUUUUGUAUUAAGCCUAGAUAAUGGCUAUUAUUCAUUUUAGUAAAUGUAUACGAUGUUCCUUCUAUGGAUGAAUUGAUGUCUUUUGGGAUGAAAUUAGCAUAUUGAAAUGAUCUUGUGUAGGCUGUGCAAAAUGGGUAACAAAUGGCUUGAAAUAUAGCCUAGUUUGUCCACACGGGCAAGACACACGGGCGUGUGUUUAGAUCGUGUGUGACACACGGCUCACCCCCAUGGGUGUGUGUUAUGGCCGUGCGUCCCCCUGCACUUAAACUUUUAAAUCAGUAUUGUCCAUGGUUAGGCCACAAGGACGUGUGCCAUAGCCGUGUCUAUAAGUCAGUAUUGCCCACGGGUAGGCCACACGGGCGUGUGUCAUGGCCGUGCCCUAAAGUCAGUGUUGCACACGGGCUGAGGAAGUGGGCAUGUCCCGAGUCACACGGACGUGUGGAACCUAAGGCAUGAAUUUCUCCAAGUUUUUCUUAAGUUCUUUGUUAAGUCUAAAUCAUGUCGAAUGUAUGUUUUGGGCCUCGUAAUCCCAUUUAAGGAACAUAUUGCUUAUGAAAAGAAAAGUUUUAAAAUUUAUCAAAAUUUUAUGGCCUGGUUUUGUAUAGUUGGUUGAGUUAAGUUAGGUAACACCUCGAACCAUGUCCCGGCAUCGGAUAUGGGCGAGUGGUGUAACACAAAUAUAUUUAAAACAUGUCUAAUUAAUCAUCCUAAGUACCUAACCAAUGUACUAUUAUAGGUAUUUCACAUAUACUAACCAAAUCAAUCUAAUUAAAACUCGUUCAAACCAAUUCUAAUUUCAUACAUAUUUACUACUAAAACUUAUCAUUUGAUAACUUUAACUACUAAAACUUAUCAUUUGAUAACUUUAACAUUUCUUAUGUAUACCAUUAUCAUAUUACAACAUUAUUUACAAACAUUUCUCAAAAUGACAAACACAACAUCCUAGGUACAUGCCAAUUACCAAAAAGAAAUGUACUUCACCACAAUGAGUUCGGGAUCGGUUCUGGAUGCUGAUUCAACAAUUUGGCUUUAACCUAACCUAUGUACGGAAACAAACUGUACGCUGAGUAUAAACUCAGUGGUAUUUCUAUAAUUUGAAUACUUAUUAAACAAGAAUAUUUAUACAUAUAAACACACAAUAACAAAAAUCAUUUAACAAAUAAUCAAUUUCAUAGCACAUCAUUCAUAACACUUUCAAUUCUUAUCUAUUACUAUUUCAAUCUCAUGAUUGAUAUUCAAAGAACUUUUCUCAAUAGGAUAUACAUAUCAUUCACCAUGUCAAUAACACUAUUUCAUGAACUCGUUGGUUCAUACAUUUCAAUUUCAUAACUUAAUUCAAUAUCCUAAUCCAAUUCAUGUUCAUAUCAUCCAAUAUCAUUUGUAUUGUCAAUUCAUUUAUUUACCUCUAUUACUAGGACUCGAAUUUUGGUGGAUACACAGAUCCAACCAAAACACAUCAAUAUGACACCCAGUACCUCAUCGGAUAAUUCGAAGUAUUAGACUGACACCCAGUGUCUCAUCGGUCUUGCCGAAGUAAGUUCGUACCCAGUACCUUAUCGAAUUUAUCCGAAAUAAUAAUGUGACACCCCGUGUCUCAUCGACUCGAAUUCGAAGUAUCCCUGAACUCUUCCAAUCCUAGGGCAUGCCAACUAUAUCUGACUCAACCCGAUACAGUUAAUAAGGUUCUUCAAUUCACUUUUCAUAUACAAUCAAUAUUCAUAUCAAUUCAAUUAAUCACACAUACUCAUAAUUCAAUUCAAUUCAAUCCAAUUCAAUUCCACAAUACCAAUACUCACCUCAAUUUCACUUACCAUACAUAUUAAAUAAUCAAUACAAUAAUAAUUAUUAAUUUUGGAUUAUAGAAAUACAAACCGUAAUUCUCGAGUUACUCCUUAAUAAUCUUAUUUUUUCCAUUCUUAGCCGAGGUCUCCGGCUCAAAGUUAGCUACGGGAAUCAAAAAAUUAAAAUUUAUCAAUACAUUACAAUUUAACAUUGAAUAUUUCAAUUUAUACACAACUUUUGUCUAAAUUCCAAUUUAGUCCUUAAAUCAAAACUAACUCUUUUCUUCCAAACGAAUUUCAUAUCUUAUUCAAUUUCCUCUUUAAACUAAUUUCAACUCUCUAAUUUCACCAUAAAACCCUAAUUUUGAAAUUCUCUCAAUUUAGUCCCUAUUACUUACAAUUUAUGAUUUAUUUUACAGUUAAACCCAUUUUCACUUCUAACUUGGAAUUCUAUCAAUUUAACCCCUAAUACUUCAAUUUAUUCAACAUGAAAAACAUCUAAAAAUUCACCAACUUCAAAAAUUUCAACUUAAAUCAAGUAGUAUUUUGUUCUAGGAUUCCAAAAACAUCAAAAUUACAAGAAAAUGGAUUAAAUUGACUUACCAAUCACACUUUGAACCUUAAACCCUAAUUUUUCCUUCUUUCUUUUCUCCUUUCUUUUUCUCCCUAUUCUUUUCUGUUUCGUUUGCCUUAUUGUUCUUUAUCAUUUAUUUUUUCUUUAUUUACUUUAUGCUUAUUAUAUUAUUACAUUAUUAUAUUAUAUUAUAAUAAUAAUUACUUAAAUAAUAAGUAAAUACAUAAUAAUUACAAGUAUAUGUACAUUAAUAUUAAACAUGUCACUAAUAAUACCAUACACCUGUCAAGAUUUGGUUUAAUUACUUAUUUAGUCCCUUAAAUUUUCUCUAUUCUAUAAUUCAACUUUUAUUCUAUUUACAAUCUAGUCAUUAUACCUAUUUACUCUUAAUUUAGACAAAUUCACCUAACUAAAACUUAAUUAACCACACGACUAUUUUCGUAAAUAUUUACGAAUCUGUUUUACGAAAAUGGAGACCCGAAAAUACAAUUUUUCGAUACCCGUAAAUUUUGGGUCGGUACAUUUAUCCCCCUUAAUAAAUUUCGUCCUCAAAAUUUACCUAAAAAGAGGUUGGGGUACUGAGAUCUCAUUGUUUCUUCCGGUUCCUAAGGCACUUCCUCAGUACUAUGACUUCACCACAACACUUUUACCAAUGGAACUCGUUUAUUACGUAACUCUUUCACCUCUCGAGCUAAUAUCUCAACCAAUUCUUCUUCAUAUGAUAAAUCAGGUCAGAUUUCAAUACCUUCUGUUGAAAUGACAUGAGAAGGAUCUGAUCUAUAUCUUCUGGGCAUUGAAACAUGAAAAACAUCGUAAAUCUUUUGUAAUUCAAAAUGGCAAAGUUAAACGGUAGGCAAUUGGCCCAACUCCUUUCUACAAUUUCAUACGGCCUAAUAAAACGAAGACUUAAUUUUCCCUUUCGACCAAAUCUCAAAAUUUUCUUCCAAGGUGAAACUUUAAGAAAUACUUUAUCACCUACAGAAUACUCAAUAUUCCGACGUUUCAAAUCUGCAUGUGAUUUCUGUUUGUCAAAAGCUGCCUUAAAUCUAUCUCAAAUCUUCUUAACAGUAUCCUCCGUUUCUUGAAUUAAAUCCGGCCCAAUAAUCUUUCUUUCAUUCAAUUCUAUCCAACACACAGGUGUCUGACAUUUGUGACCAUAUAAAGCUUCAUACGGAGGCAUUUGAAUACUCAAUUGAAAACUAUUAUUAUAUACAAACUCAGCCAAAUGUAAAUAACGCUCCCAACCAGAUUCAAAAUCAGUAACACAAGUACGAAGCAUAUCUUCCAAAAUCUGAAUAACUCGUUCAGAUUGUCCAUCAGUCUGCAGAUGAAAAUCUGUGAUAAAGUUGAGUCGUGUACCAAGAGAAUCAUGUAAUUGUCUCUAAAAUCUCGAUGUGAACUGUGGAUCUCUAUCAGAAAUUAUUGAUACAUGUAUACCAUGUAAUCUCACAAUUUCCAAAAUAUAAACUUUAGCAAGUUUCUGAAGUGACCAAUCAAUUCAAACUGCUAUGAAAUGAGCUGAUUUUGUAAGCCAAUCAACAGUUACCCAAAUAACAUUUGUCUUACUUGCUGACAACGUUAAUCCCAUUAAAAAAUCUAUCGUAAUAUAAUCCCAUUUCCAUUCAGGGAUAUUAAUUGGCUAAAGUAAUCCAGUAGGAACCUGAUGCUCUACCUUUACUCAUUGACAAUUCAACUAUAUUUCUUUUCAUACCUGGCCACCAAUAAGAUUCCCGUAGAUUACGAUACAUUUUCGUUCCUCCUGGAUGUAAUACAAAAGGACUAUCAUGUGCUUCAUGAAGUAUCAAUUCUUUCAGUUCUAAAACAUCUGGUACACAAAUCCGAUUAUGAAAUCUCAAACAACCAUGAUCAUCAAUGCUGAAAUUCUCUAUCAUGCCAUUCUGAACCAUUUCUCUUUUCUUCAUCAACUUGUUAUAUUCUAAUUCUGCUGACUUGAUCCGAUUAAACAUCACUGGUUUAACUUUCAAUUCAGCCAAUAAACUUCCAUCAUCACUAAUGCUAAGCUGUGCAAACAUUGCUCGUAAUUCAAUUGUUGUUUUUCUACUCAAUGCAUCAGCUACAACAUUUACUUUUCCCUUAUGAUAAUCAAUAACACAAUCAUAAUCUUUUAAAAGUUCUAUCCACCGAUGCUGUCUCAAAUUUAACUCCUUUUGAGAUAGAAUAUACUUGAGACUUUUAUGAUCAGUAUAAAUAUAACAUUUCUCACCAUAUAAUUAAUGUCUCCAGAUCUUUAGUCUAAAAACCACGGCAGCUAAUUUCAGAUCGUGCGUCGAAUAAUUACGCUCAUGCGGUUUCAAUUGAUGAGAUGAAUAUGCUAUCACAUUUCCAUCUUCCAUCAAAACACACCCGAGACCAUUCAUAGAAGUAUCAUUAUAAAUAACAAAAUCCUUUCCCGACUCUGGCAAAGUUAAAACUGGUGUUUCAGUCAGCAUUAGCUUUAACUUCUCAAAACUUUCUUAGCACUGAUCAUCCCAAACAAAUGGAACAUUCUUUUGCAACAGCUUUGUCAUGGCAAGGCUAUAUUUGAAAAUGCAUUUACAAAUCUUCGAUAGUAACCAGCCAAUCCUAGAAAACUACGCACCUCUGACACACUUCUCAGUGCUUUCCACUAAACAAUUGCUUCAAUCUUCUUCAGAUCAACUCUAAUUCCAUCGUCGAUACCACAUGUCCAAAAAAUACAACUUCUGAUAACCAAAAUUCACAUUUUCUAAGCUUUCCAUACAACUGUUUCUCUCGUAAUAUUUACAAAACAAUUCUAAGGUACUACUCAUGUUCAGAUUCAGACUUCGAAUAAACCAGAAUAUCAUUAAUGAAAACCAUCACAAACUGAUCCAAGUAAGGUUGAAAAAUACUAUUCAUAAGAUCCAUAAAAGCAACUGGAGCAGUUGUUAAUCUGAAAGGCAUUACUAAAAAUUCAUAAUGGCCAUACCGUGUACAAAAUGCUGUCUUUGGUAUAUCACUUUCUUUCACCUUCAACUGGUAAUAACUCGAUCUCAAAUCAAUAUUUGAAAAGACAAAAGCUCCUUUUAGCUGAUCAAAUAAAUCAUCAAAAUGAGGUAACAGGUAUUAAUUUUUGAUAGUCACCUUGUUCAAUUGUCAAUAAUCAAUACACAACCGCAUUGAAUCGUCUUUCUUUUUAACAAACAACACUAGAGCUCCCCAUGGUGAAAUAUUAGGACGUAAAAAUCCUCAAUCCAAUAAAUCCUGCAACUGUACUUUCAAUUCUUUUAGUUCGGUAGGUGACAUACGGUAUGGAGGUAUGGAUGUCGGAGCAGUACUAGGAUAAACUUCUAUUGGAAAUUCAACCUCUCAAUCGGUGGUAAUCCCGACAAUUCUUGAAAAAUACAUCAAGAAGUUCACAAACAGUCCAAAUUUUACUGCAUUGACUUUCAACAGAAUCUGAAUUAAAAUUUAUCAAUACACUACAAUUUAACAUUGAAUAUUUCAAUUUAUACACAACAUUUGUCUAAAUUCCAAUUUAAUCCUUAAAUCAAAACUAACUCUUUUCUUCCAAACUAAUUUCAUAUCUUAUUCAAUUUCCUCUUUAAACUAAUUUUGAUUCUUUAAUUUCACCAUAAAACCCUAAUUUUGAAAUUCUCUCAAUUUAGUCCCUACUACUUAAAAUUUAUGAUUUAUUUUACAAUUAAAUCCCUUUUCACUUCUAACUUGGAAUUCUAUCAAUUUAACCCCUAAUACUUCAAUUUAUUCAACAUGAACAACAUCUAAAAAUUCACUAACUUCUAAAAUUUCAACUUAAAUCAAGUAGUAUUUUGUUCUAGGGUUCCAAAAACAUCAAAAUUACAAGAAAAUGGAUUAAAUUGACUUACCAAUCACACUUUAAACUUUAAACCCUACUUCUUCCUUUUUUUUCUCCUUUCUUUUUCUCCCUAUUCUUCUCUGUUUUGUUUGCCUUAUUGUUCUUUUUCUUUUAUUUUUUUCUUUAUUUACUUUAUGCUUAUUAUAUUAUUACAUAUUAUAUUAUAUUAUAAUAAUAAUUACUUAAAUAAUAAGUAAAUACAUAAUAAUUACAAGUAUAUGUAUAUUAAUAUUAAACAUGUCACUAAUAAUACCAUACACUUGUCAAGAUUUGGUUUAAUUACUCAUUUAGUCCCUUAAAUUUUUCUAUUCUAUAAUUCAACUUUUAUUCUAUUUACAAUCUAGUCAUUAUACCUAUUUACUCUUAAUUUAGAACACCUAACUAAAACUUAAUUAAUAGCACAACUAACUCCGUAAAUAUUUUUAAUAAAUAUUUACGAAUCCAUUUCACGAAAACGGAGACUCGAAAAUGCACUUUUUCGAUACCCAUAAAUUUUGGGUCAUUACAUAACAUGUCAUGCAUCCUUGUGCAUAAGAACAAGCUCACACAAUGAUGAUAAAAUUCAUCCAGCUCAUUUGAAAAAAUGUUUGGUUACUCAUUUAACAUUCAGCCUGCUUUCUGACUUAAUUUGGGAAAGCAUACACAGGGCAUUAUUGCUAGAAACUACUCCUAGCUUAAUUCUUAAUUUAAGGAAAGACUGUUGAAUGAUUGGUUUGGUGAGAGCAUCUGCUAACUGAUGUUUAGCAAGGACAUAACCAACAUGAAACUGGUUAUUAAACACCUUUUCCUCACAAAAUGGAGAUCCAAAUCAACAUGUUUGGUCUUCGAAUGAAGAAUCAGAUUAGUUGCCAUAGUGACUAUACUUGAAUUAUCACACCAAAUUUUAGGUGGAUCGAGUAAAGUGACACCAAAAUCUUUCAACAAAGACUGAAGCUAAAGUGACACCAAAAUCUUUCAAUAAAGACUAAAGCUAGAUGAUUUCAGAUGUAGUGUCAACAAGGCUUCCAUCCUCUGCCCCAGUUAUAGAUUUAGAAACAGAUAAUUGUUUUUGGGACCUCCAAUAAAUGAUGUCAGAUUUAAGAAAGACAUAAUAGUAACCAGAUAUAGAAUGUCGGCCAUCAGCAUUACUACCCUAGUCAGCAUCAAAAUAAGCAGCCAGAGAAAGUAAUUCACUUGGAGAAAACAUAAGUUCAUAGUCUAGAGUUUCAAGUAUCGUAGGAUUCUUUUUACGACAAUCCAAUGAGGCUCUCGUGGUUUAUGCAUAUAUUGUGCCACUUUGUUAACAUUGAAUGAAAUGUCUGGUUGUGAAUGACAUAGGUAUUGAAGCGAUCCAACUAUGCUUUGAUAGCUUGAAGGAUUACGAAGGAGUGCUUCAUCAUCUUUGGUUAAUUUGUGUCCAACGAUCAUAGGAGUAGGAACUGGCUGGGAUUUUGUCAUAGCUGCUUUGGUAAGCAGGUCAAUAGUAUAUUUUUGUUGAUUAUGUAUAAGUCCUUGGCCAAUUUUUUUUACCUCAAUACCAAGAAAAUAUUGUAAUAAGCCAAGACCUUUCAAGGUGAAUUAUUGAUGAAGUUGUUGAACAAUCAAAUCAAGCAUUUGUGGUGUGCUUCCAGUGAGUAAUAUAUCAUCAACAUAAACUAUAAUAUAGGUAACAUUCGACCCAUGUUGAAGAAUGAAUAAGGAUGAAUCGACUUUGGAGGAGAUAAAGCCAAGUUUUUAAAGGAAUUGUUGAACCUUGAGAAACCAAUUUCAUGGUGCUUGUUGUAAAUAAUAAAUGGCUUUGUUGAGUUUGCAAACAAAAGGAGUCCCAUCUGCCCGAUGUUGCUUGAAACCUAGAGGUUGGAUUAUAUUGUUGGAAAAAUCCCAGUUUGAAAAUAAUUUUCUUGCACAGUGGAAAAUAAAAAUUUUGAAAACCGACUUGGUUUGUGAUAUUUAUAGCAAUAAACCUUAACAGAAUUCACACCUGUGUUUUUGGAUAAGCGGAUCCUUAAUGUUUUCUGUAAUGCCCUGAUUUUUGGGACUAGAAGUAUUGGACCUUAAGUCUGGGUUUGGAUAGAAGACAGCCCGAAUAAUUUGAAUGUUAUUAUUAUUAUUAUUAUUAUUUAGUAUGUUAGUUUAGUAAUUAAAUAAAUUAAGAAGGGUUUAUGGCGUGGGAAAAAGUCUGGGGCUCAGCCCAUAGCUUUAGCAACAUUCUUAAAUUUUGCCUCUUAAGGAAAUCUGGGCAUAAGGCCUUAAAAAUAAGUUGGGCAGAACUGGGUAUAAAGGAAUGCCUGGCCCAGUGGUUAGGCACGCUGGACGGUAGGAAGGAAGGCUGGGGUUCGAUUCCCAGCGUGCUCAAACAUGUUUUUAAGUCAAAGGCUGUCGCAGGCAGGCCUUAAGAGUUGUUGGGGCUAACUCAUGUCACAAUAAGGAACUCAGCCCAGUGGCAAGGGAUGUUAGAAGGCUGAAGGGGACCCCAGUUCGAGGCACGGAGCGCGCAAGACGUUUAUUUUUUUAAGUAAAAGGGUUGCACUAAAAUAGGCUUUAAAAGAAUUCGCGAACGAAGUAUGCCGAAAGGAUGUCGGUUCGAUCCCAGGGGAAGGUGAAAUUUUGAUUUAUCUUUUUAAACAGCCGUGACUGCAGCAGUUAAGCUUUAAAAAUAAUUGUGAGAAGAUUAUGUCACGAGAGGAGCUUCAGGGCAGUGGCAAGCAGCAUAUAUGGGUGCUUGGAGGUCUCGGUUUCGAGCUGCUGUAUGCUCAAUGGGUUACCUUUUUGCUACACGCGUGGGGGGAGUAAUUCAAUUGGACCAAAACUCUUCCAAGCAGCAAAUUGAGUCGGCCAAGCGGUGGGAAAAUGGUGGCUGCUAAUUGGUAGGAAGGAUUUGGAUGGAAUUCAAAUUAGGUGGUGGCUAAAAUUAAGGAGAAAAACAUGGAAUUUGAACUUGGGAAGGAUUUUAUGCCUAAAUAGGACUCAUGGUAGUACCAAUUCGGCUAUAGGCAAUUAAAUGCCGAAAAAGCUCUUAAAAUUUUGGCUUGUAUGGGUUGUUUUUCUUCUUUGUUUAGUUUUGGGUUUUUUUUAGUGUUAGUCGAUUUAGGUUGGGGCCAUUCACAUCUAUUAUUAUUUUUGAGAUCGACCUUCAUUCUUUUUUGUUCAUCUUUUCUUCACCAAGCUUAAUCUUCUACUCCUACCCAUAAGUCAUUUCUCUUUGAUUCUCUUCUCAUUAUUGCCGAAUAUAGAGACUUUUCUCUGUGCCAAAAAGCUGAACCUCACAACUCUCUUAUCCUUCUGCCGACAUCUCCCCUCUACUUCACAAACUUCUAUUCUCCAUCUCGUUUCUUCAAAAGCCGAAUCACCUAGAUCUAUCCUCUAUUCGUAUUUUGGGUUAGAUCUACAACAAAUCGGGAAUAGGAAGGUACUUGGGAAUGUUUUUGGCAAGUAAAUAUUUGGUAAGUGCUCAGAAUCCCUUCUCUAUCCAUUAUUUGGUGAUUUAAAGAAAAACCGAAAACCCCUAUAUGCAAAGGGUGCCUGUCGACUAAACUAAAAGAGUUUAGUGGUGUUAUUUGAUUUGUUUUGCUCUAGUGUGGAUUAAAGGCUACUGAUCGAGGGCUUGGAUAAUUGGAACUACUAGAUUGAUCUAGUCCAUAUUCCGGCAAAGGUAAGGACUUUAGUGCCUAAGGUGUUAAUGGCCGAUUAUUGGUAAGGGGAUUUGUAUAUAAGUUGUUAUGGAUUCAUAGUUUAACGUGUUAAUAACUGAUUGUAGGCAACUCUUGUGUGGAACUCGUCAACAUUUCAUCGUAAAACAGGUGUGUAAACGACACCCACUAGUAGACUAGAUCGGCAAAAGCCAAAAAGUCAAAAUGCCGAAAAGUCGGCAUUUCGAGAACUUGUGAGCGUGCGAGCGCUCGUGGGAUUGUUUGUAUUGAUAAUUUUGGUAUAUUCAAUGGUAAGAUUGCAAAGUGUGCAAUUUCGUGCACCUCGGUGAAUUUGGGCUUCGAUGGACUGAAAUUGAGUAAUGGGCAACGGGUCUAUUUCGGUAAAAACGUCCGGUCAGUAUUCUAAAGACAUGUUAAUAACUGUAAUGAGCAUGAAACCCUAAAAAAACUAAUAAAAUUAUUGAAAUACCUCUGUAAGGUAGAAUUACCGUAAUACCCUUAAAGGGGUAAGUUUACGAUUACGCCGCUUGAAUUUAAAUAACUGUUCUUACGCUAUAAUCUGACUGUCUUUCUGAAGCAUGCCUUGUUAAUUAUAUAUAUAUAUUCUGCAUACAUGUCAUACUGCAUGGGGUUGGGUUUUGUUAUGGAGGAAGAACCCGUUCUGGUGGUUGUGCCACAUAUUCUGAUAUAAGCAGCUUUGCUGCAGAUUAUAGUUAGUGUCGCAACUGGUGCUAACACUGUAAGUGUAGGGAUGGCGUGAGUGAUUUAUUCCCCACAGGAAGUGUAGGGAUGGACGGAGGCAAGUGCAGGGUUGGAUGGGAUUAUCAUGCAUUAACCAUAUGAGACUGUUUUGUUAUGGGCCAACUGUAUUGAAAUGGGCCCAACUGUGUUAAUAUGGGCAAGGCCCAAUAUAUCUUGACUUGUAAUAGGGUUACGACCCAGAUUAAUAUUGAUAUGGACUAAGGCCCAGUUAACUCUGAUUUCUGAAUAGGGCUUAAGCCCAGUAAAGCUUGAACUAAUUUGGGCUCUGGUUGGGCUACUUUACACACUGAGUUUUCCAAACUCACCCAUUCCUUUUUACCCUUGCAGAUGAGCCUUAAACUGGGGACUUGGAGCUGGUAGGAUUCAGGGUGGCCACGGGGACAACGCAGAUGGUUUUUAAUUAAAUUAGUAGUUCUUUAAGUUAUUUUUCAGUUAUAUUUCGAGUUGUAACAAUGCUGCUUUAGUUAUUUUUAACUAUUUUUAGUAUGUUUUGUUAGCUUAGAUAUGAUAUUGUUUUAAUUGUUUGAAAUUGAAUAGCUCUAGGGUACGUUUUAAAAAGGUUACUUGAUUUCAAAAUAUCGCGAUAACAAAGCAAAGGUUCCGCAACGAAGACGUUUUCAAAAUUAAUAACAUUUUCAAAUGGUUUUAAACGAAUUGGUUUCCCAUGAACAAUCACUCAGUUAAAGUGUGGCAAUGGUUGUGUGCAUGUCUAGGAUUGGAUCCGUGGAGAGCUGGGUACUUAAGCAGUCUAAUUGACUCACCUCCUCUUUUCUGGCAUCGUAUCUGGUGCACAGCUUCUAUUCACUUUAAUCUAUAAUGAAGAUAUUCUUUAAACACUAAGAAAGACUUUAGAUAAAACAUGACUUUUCUAGUAACACUUUAAUGUGACACGUCAGAUUCAGUCAUAACGUCUGGGCCGGGUUUGGGGUGUUACAUUUUUCGACUUUCAACCAAACGAUCUUCUCUGCUAUUCUCGUACCAUGAACUACUUCGAGUGUGGCCUCGAACCAAAUGAAUCAAAACACAGAACUAGAAAAAGUUUUCUUUUAAGGGUGAAAAUGUAAAUUCUCUCUUUUUUAAUAGAAACCGUUAAAAUUGUUAUUCUGAAAAAUAUGCUUAUAAGUAGAGAAUAAAUUCUCUCUAUCUUUUGGCAAAGUAAAAAUAUAUGAAAAGAUGUGUUUCUAGUUAUAUCGGUGUAAUCUAUUUAUAGGAAGAGAAUGCAGAACCCUUGUAGAGAUGUAAAAGUUUAUUUCCAUUAGAAAAACGAUAUCCUAGUAUAUAGAGGUGUGCAUGGGCCGAGCCGGGCCCAAAAAAAAAUUUAGGCCUGUUUUCCAGGCCCGAGCUCAGCUCGGCCCGAAAUAUGGGCCUAAAAAAUUGUCCAAGCCUGGCCGAAAAUAAAAUUGUUAAGCCCGAGCUCAACCCGGCCCGACCCAUAUUAAAUUUUUUUUAGCUUAUUUCAUUAAAUAAAAAAAUUCAAAAUAUAAUAAAUCAAAUACAUUUAAAAAUAUAAAAAUAAAUAUUAAAACAAGAAACAAAUAAAAAGUGAGACUAAAACAAUUCUUAAAACAAUACACAAAUUGAAAAUAUAAUAAAAAAGUGGUUAUAUUAAAAUUGAAAAUAAAAUGUAAAUAUGAUUAAAAAUAAAUAAAUAUAUUUAAUAUAUAAUUUGGGCCGGGCCCAGGCAAAAAAGUUUUACCCGAGGCCUGACCCGUUUUCUAAAUGGGCCUCAUUUUUUGCCCAAACCCAUAUUUCGGGCCUAUAUUUUUACCCGAACCCUCUAUUUUUCGGGCGGGCCUUCAGGCCAGGCCAGGCCAGGUAGCCUGGCCCAUGCACACCUCUAAUAGUAUAUAAGGGAUGGCAACCUUAGUUAAUGAUAUUAGGGUUUUUUCGUCUCACCUCUUUACAUGAGGGGUUUUGGGCCACUCUCACAUCGGGUCCAAUUACGAGUACUUCCUCGGCUUUUUUGACCUAAUACUCUGUAAUUUGAUUCAACCUAAUUAAAAUUUUCUAUUUCCCAAAUAAACUUUAAUACCUACACAUUAAAUAAUUUUCUCACCCAAAUUUUACUUGAGCAAUAUUUUGACAAUUUUACCCCCUAUAAAAUUUUGAUGAUUUUACCCUUAUUAAAAUUUUGAGAAAUUUGUUUAAUAUGUCACAACUCACAUGUUCACUAUGACCGAAUGAUUUAUCUUCAUUUUCGAGCUUCAAAACAAUCCAAAAACAUAAACUCAUGCUUCUAUCAUUUUUAAGUAAUCCUAUAUAAGAUUGCAAGUUUCCAUUUCCAUUUUCAUUUUUGGAAACCUACAUUUAUUUCCAAAUGAUUCUAUUUCUCCAUUUUGGAGAAAACCAUAAUCAUUCAUGAAUGUUUCUUAUUUCUCUUUCUCUAUUCAUUCUGUUCAUUUCUAUUUAAACACACAACUCAUUUCUAGUUUUAACGAGCUAGCGGAGGGACCGAUUAGACAUAUAUAGUUGAUGCUCAAAUGAUUUAUAAUUAAGUUUUAUCUUUUCGCUUAUUAAUUAUAAACUCAUUUAGUCACAAAUGAGUUAUCAAGAAUCAACAUUAAAAUAAUCAAUCUACGUGCGGUGUACUGCAAGUAUGACAGGUCGAUUGUAAUAUUUUCAGUGUUACAAUAGAACACCUGAGUGUUCCAAGGAUCAAACCUAAGAGAGUUCAGUAACCAAACGAUUCUAAUCUAUAGCAUGCAAUUUGGGAGUCUAGCUAACUACUCACUAAGUGUCAUAUUACGAGAAAUCAUAAUUGAGGGUGAAUUAAACUAAUUAAUUAUCUAAAAAUAGAAAAGGGCCAAAUUGGAAAUCACUAAAAUUAUGACACUAGCAAAUUUGAAAAUAGACAACGGUUGGUUGAUUUUCAUGUUGUUGGUUAACCUUUGAAUCAAGGAUCUAAAUUGCUAAUGCUCUUAAAUUGACUCAAUUUUCCAUUUCGGCAUCAAAUUUACCAAAUUAGACAAAUUAGUCUAGCCUAUCUCUCGACCUUAGCAAACUAACUUGGGACGGUCUAAUUGGUGCUCGAUAAGAUCUCCUCUCGAUCUCACUUAUCUAAAUUUCCCCUUAUGGCCAUCAAUUCUAUGUUUUGAAUUCUAUUUGAUUUAGUCUCUAAACCUAAAAAUCAACUACCCAACAUUUCCAUCAACCAACCACCUAAGGUUUAGCCAUUCAUACUCACCUCUAAACACACAAACAAUAAAUAUUCAAAUGAAAAGUGCAGUAACUUAAAUUCAAAGUGAACUUAAGCUUUCUUGGAAAACCUUGGAUAACACAACAAUGACAAUAAGGUAGUUGAAUAAAAAUAUCAAAUAUAUGAUUUUUUAACAAAUGAAAUAAAGCUUAAUAAUAUUAAACCAAAGAAUUAAAGUGUAAAUACAAGGGAAGUUAAUGAGAUUUUGCCACACGUGAUAAAAUCUCAACACUGCUUGUGAAACUAGUGUAUCAAAUAAUUAUCCUAUAUAUAAAUUUUUAAUACAACAAGAAUACUUGUACCAAUUCUAAAUUGGAAAUAACGUCUUGCAACCUAUGUUUAGCAAAGCUACAAAACAUACUGGCUGAAUAAAUCUCAAAUAUAACCCAACAAACAGCCUGAGCCAAUGGUUGUGGAGAUAUUUAAGACCACCAUGGAGCGUCACCGGUUCUGAAAUCUGUUUCCACCCAUGGAACAAAUACUACCUUCCCGUCUUCAACACCAGCGUGUGCCAAUGCCAAGGACUGUUCGAUCACACAAUAAAGUUGCCCAUUAACUCAUUACUAUAAACAAUUAGAUUAUAUAUAUAUAUAUAAAGAAACUAUAACAAAAUGAUACAAAAACAUAUUCUGAGCACAAAAAAUUUUGGAUGCCUAAACUUUUAAAUACAAUACUAAAUGCAUGUGUUUGUUUGGCAAUGAAUCAUGAGGGAUAAACCUAUUCUAAGAUUCUUUAAUAAAGAAGAGCAUCUACAUUAUAUUUCCAAGUGGUUUAUGGCCUGAUGAGAUUUUCCUAAUGUUGAUGAGUGAAACAACCAAAAAUGUAUAACUUAGCUGUCAAUCAGACUCACCAAGGGGGCAGGUCCUCUCACAACUCUUCCUUGAUCGUUGUAUUGGGAUCCAUGGCAGGGGCAUAUGAACUUGUUCUCGGCUUGAUUCCACGGAACAACACACCCAAGGUGUGUGCACACAGCAUUUAUACCAUAUGUUGCAAGAGUUCUGUCCUUCUCUACCACUAGGUAGGUUGGGUCUCCCUGAAAAUAAACAAAAUCCAUUUUUAUAUCAACUUUCAUAAUGCAGUUACUGCUACUGCUCUCGUUAAUGGUUUCUCAUGCCUAACAUUAGCAAGAGACAAAUAACCUAAACAUAAAAAAAGAUUGAGCUCAACCAAUGGCAAGCAUAGCUCAUAAGUCACUGUUGACCGCCAAAGAACUUACAUGGCAAACAAUUUCCUAGAAGAAACCAGAGCUCUUCGUGAUUUCAUGUUGAAUGCUCUUAGGAUGGUCUGAAACAUUCAAUUAUAACAAACUGUAAUUAACACCAUGUGUACUUAC